rnacentral:lncRNA from 1 species
UAGGGUUUAGGGUUUGGAAUAGGGUUUAAUUUAAGAUUUGUUUAGGAUUUGACUUAGGAUUUAGGAAUUAUUAGGGUUUAAGAUUUAAUUAGGUUUGGUCUAAAGUUGAGUGAAAUUUAAUAGGAUUUUAACUAGAAUUAAAUUAAGGUUGAAUUGACAUAUAUUUGAAUAAAAUUUGUGAUCAUUCUAAUAUUUCUUUAAGAAUUUUAUUGUUUUUUUGAAAUUUCUUUGAGUUGUUUUGAAUUUGAUUAUGUUUGUUUACCAUUAUUAUAGUCUAAUUAGAGCAUUGUUAGUAUUCUAUUUAGGAUUUUGUUAUCACAAUUUCUAUUCUUCCUUCUACAACCAAGUGCGUAGAGCAUUCUCAAGUAAGACUUCACACAUUACGACAACAUCUUCCGGUAGUCGGCCCUGUGGAAAUGCUAACUAUUUGAUAUCUAACAACGUCGGGACUUCAUUCUCCUUCUCCACCACCGAAUGAAUCGGACCCGUUUUCGGUGCCACUGGACGACUGGACUCCUCAAUUUCAUGUAUUAUCUCCAUUGUAUUGACAUUCUGUACCAACGAAUUCUGUUCUUGUUGCGGAGGCACUGGCACUAGUUCAGAACUUCCUUCUACUGACAAUGUUUGCCAUGAUGUGAACGCGAUCACAGUAUUUACGUAAUUGGAACAUAGCAAUGCUGUAAACUUUCUUAUUUUGUGCUUGGCUCCCAUUUUUGCAUGAAUACGGGUUGCUACAUAAGCUGCCUAAUUGAACACCAUCCUUUCAAACAUCCCUGACGCUGCAAACAUUAACUGUUUUGACAUAUAUGUGUUGUGUCGAUACAACCCUAGAGACCUCAAUACGGAGCACAACUAUUCCAUGAGCUCUGAUGUAAUUGCCUCAACCGUCUGCCAACCUUGGUUUUUCUCAAAUGAUGACAUGCCACUUUUGAAAUAACUUCCUGAUCGAAAGUCACUGGACUCCUCAACACCCACUGCAAUCUCUCCAACUAGAAGAAACAGUACUUUUUCGAGGAUCUUCUCAUCAAUACAGAUAACGCGUCCUUGUACUACACUCCAUCCAUUCUGUGGGUCAUAAUUCGUGAUGUAUUCUUCCACUAAUGCCACAUUAAUUGAAGGCAAACAAUCUGACCUUUGCAAAAACUGAAACAUUUGUGCAUUUUGAAAAUCUCGUAUUCUCCUUGGCAUCCAGCAAAUCUCCAGCUUCAUAGGCUCCAUAUUGGUAACGAUUACUACAGAUGGUGGUCCUAAAUUAUAUUUAGCUUUCACAUUUCGGCCACUUUCCUCUCUGUCCGUAGCUCUCUUUGCACUCUCCAUCGCCAUGACGCACACUCUUUUAAGCUCUAAUCGUCAAUACUACACUCCAGUACUUCAAAACACUUAAAAUUGUAACACUGAAAAGAAACAAUAAGAGAAUGCGACACCUGAGAAUGACUGUAAAUGGGUGCCCCACUCGUAUUCUUUUACCUAGUGGUGAUAAUGACAACAUAUUAUCCCUAUUGUCCGUUUCUCAUCCCAGUCCCAUCUAACACAUUAGUAAUUAUUAACUAUCCUUUCAGCCGCCUCUAUACCCUAAUGCACUUAAUUAGAUCUAUCCUACGUACAUUCGAUGUGACCUCCUCUAGAAAUUGAAGAUCCGUCUCUGAUUUUACAUAUGAUAUAACUGUAAUCGGUUCCCGUUAAUGCGGGUACUGAAUCAAUGACCCAUGAAAUCCUCCAAUUAAACAGACCCAUUGAAAAAUCCUUCAAUCACACGAUAUGGCCCAUAUCAGCGAACUUGAAAUUUUCCCAGAAAAUGAUUAAACCUGCUAUCAAACAACAAUACCAAAUCAUUGGGCAUAAAACUCUUUGGACGUAGUUUACUAUCAUAGUAACUCUUCCACCAUUUUUGAGUUGCUUCCAUGUUGAAGAGAGCUGUAGCCCGUAUUUCAUCCAAUUUGUCCAACUCUGCCAACCGAUAUUGAAGUGAUUCCUUAUCUCCAAAACAUUCAUCCAACGCAAUGCGCUAACUUUGAACUUCCAAUUCAAUGGGUAAUAUUGCUUCAUGCCCGUACACCAAUUAAAAUGGUGUGGAAUUGGUAGUCACUUUAUAUGCAGUACAAUACGCCUACAAUGCCGCAAAUAAUUUAGUAUCCAAUCUGUUCCCGUGCGCAAAAUUGUUUUGGUUAAAAUCUUACAUAGAAUACCAUUGGUCUUUUCCGUCUGCCCAUUGGCCCGAGGAUGAUAUGGUGUUGUUUUCCUGUGCUUGAUUUUGUAUGUGUUCGUCAAGGCAGCUAUGGUAGCAUUUAUGAAAUAGGUGCUGCAAUCGCUAACCAAUUCCUUCGGACACUCAAAUCGAGAAAUAAUAUUUUCGUAUAAAAAUGUGGCGACCGUACUAGCAUUAUCAUUGGGGGUAGCAAUAGCCUCCACCCAUUUGGUUACAUAGUCCAUGGCAACUAAAAUAUACCGCUUUUAUCCAUGUUGCAAUGUUGGUGCAAUGGGUCCAACAAAAUUAAUUCCCUAUUUCUCAAAUGGUGCAUGUGCCAAGAUUGGUACUAAUGGCAUCGCAAAAGUACCCGUGAAUUGACCAAUUCGUUGACAGGGAUCACAACGAUGAACAAAUUGGUGUGCAUCAGAAAACAUUGUGGGCCACCAAUAUCCAGCCAUUAAAGCCUUGUGAGCAGUACUGUCUCCCGCAUAAUGUCCACCACAACUAUCCAAAUGACAUCUUUUCAAAAUUGUACGAACUUCACUUUGAAAGAUGCAACGGCGUAAAAUUCCAUCCUGCUCUUGUUUGUACAAGGCAUCUCCAAUCAUGGUAUACGGCGUACUUUUUAAAAUCAGACGCUUUUUUAAUUUUUUAUUAUAAGAAAUAGAAAAAGUCUGAAACGUUAGAUAUUGGAUCAAUUCAUCAUAUUCAAGUGUAAUGACAUCCACUGCGAAUAGUUGUGCAUCCGAAAGAGCAUCGUUUAUCGACUCAUUAUCCAGUAUAUUAGAUUAACGAGAUAAGUAAUCCGCAUUGGCAUGUUUCUUUUGUGGUCGUACAUUGAUAGUAAAAUUAAAUUCUUGAAGUAAUAACACCUAUUGAGCAAUGCAUCCACUCAAUUGAGGCUUAUUAAUCAUGUAUUUGAGGGCAUCGUGAUCCACAUAAAAGACAAAGGAAUACCCAAGCAAAUAGUGCCAAAAUUUCUGAACCGAGUAUAUCAUAUCAAAUGCUUCUCGUUCAGUAGUAGUGUAAUUACGUUCGACAGCCACCAAUUACCGAUUAGCAUAAUAGAUAUGAUGAUCUAGACCUUGGUCAUCUUUUUGACUUAGCAACAAUCCAAUAGCCACAUUGGAUGCAUCAACAUACAGAUGAAAGGGCUUGGUCCAACGAGGGGCCACCAAUAUUGGUGUAGAGACCAAUUUUGACUUCAAUGCUUAAAGACUACAGUACAUUCUAUGGUCCAGAUGGGACUAGUCCCAUCUAAUGGAGGUUUCUUCAGUAAGUUUGUUAAAGUUUGAUAAAUAUCUGCAAACGACCAAAUAAAUUGUCGAUAAUAACUGACAUGGCCGACGAACCCUCGAACAUCGAAGACCGUCUCUGGUUUGGACAAGUUCAUUAUAUGUGUAACUUUGUCAGGAUUCGUAGCAAUACCACGGCUAGAGAUGAUAUGUCUCAAUAAUUUUCCUAAUAGAAUACCGAAUUGAUACUUAUCCAAGUUCAACGAUAUUCCAAACUUAGCGCACUGAGCCAAGCAUUUGCCGAGACAAUUAUGAUGAUCUUGUAUUGUACUGAAUACACAAAAGUCAUCUAAAAAGAUCUCCAUAAACAGUCGGAGAUAGUCUUGGAAGGCCUGAGUCAUCACUCUCUGAAACGUGGCUACGACGUUACAUAAUCCAAAAGACAUCACGCGAUAAGCGAAUGUGCCCCAAUCCGUAGUAAAGGUCGUCUUAAGCUGGUCUUCCGUUGUCGGGGUAGAGAGAGUUUGCCUCAAGAAAGCGCUGGGCUUCUGGCUGUCACUAAAUACUCAAUCAAGUUUGAAAUAUAAGGGUAACAAUUUUAUAUAUAUAAACUCCUCUCCUUUGGAGCAAUUACAUCAAUAUACAAGCCUUAAAAUCCAAAGAACACCAAAAUACUUGAUAAGGUGUUAUAAAAAACCUAUAUAUCCUUAUGAGGAAUUUUUCCCGAAGUUCAACAGCUCAUAACUUACGAUCUAACCGUCUAAACAACUCCAAUUUUUACAUGAAGUACUGAUAUAUCUUUAGCAACUACCACACCAAAAUUCAAUGGUAAAUUCGUCUUGGAUCUUGUGACAUCUUGAAAAUCCUAACUGUAGCUUCAAACCCUAGCUUUUUUACACCCGUGUACAACUUCCUUCAUAUCUCACAAAGUAAUUAUUCAAAUACUAUGAAACUUUGAUUUAAAGCUUCUUAACCCAAUUACACACACUUGUGGAAAUUGUGAGCCAAAAAUUCGUCCAAAAACUCAAGAUAUGGCUUCACCCAUAACUAGCAACAAAACGAUAUACUUACUGCCUUCAAAUUACAAGUGUUGUCUUCAACGCCUCAUAACUCCUUCACCCAAUCUUAGAAUUCACUAUACAGUAAGUAGAAUGUGUAGCCAAGAAAAUGCUCCCUCCAAAUCCAGUCGCCGAUCUUCCGUUGCUCUCCGUAUUCGUAUGUGAUGCCCAAAAGAAAUGACAGUAGGUACGAAAUUGACACCUUAUCUUUGAACAUUCAUAUCUUUUCCAUAAAAACUCGAAAUCACACAAAAUCUUCAACCAAAUUAUACCCAAAACCCUAAACCUUCUGACCCUAGCCUCAAAAGCUCGAAUGGCCUCAAAAGAGGAACCCUAAUUCCUAAUAUGGCCUCGGGCAGCCUCCUCAAAGCCCAUUGGGCAUGGUAUUCGACCAAUAGGGAUGAAGUUCUUCACCCCUUGCCUUCAUCCAACCAUGCCUUACUUUCAUCCUUCCCAAUAAGCCUCCUUCUAGUUAUAUUUUCAUCUUUUAACUCCUCCCUUCCCUUAAUCUUUAUACUAACUAUCUAAAUCCUAUAUAAUAUAAACUCUAUAAUGAAACUAGAUUAACUUCCAAAUAAUUUUUCUUAUUUCAAUUCAUUUUAAAUUAACAUACUAACUAUUCUAACUCACAUUAAGAAUUAUAAACAUAUUACAUGUUUUCACUAAUUUUUACAUACUGUAAGUAAUUACAGUACGACACCGUUACAAUUUGAACCUGAUUAUACCCAAAAAAUCCAUCUAGGAACGAAUAACAUUCGUGACCUUCUACAGCAUCUAAUAUACUAUCCGUGAAGGGCUAUGGGAAGUAAUCUUUCUUGGUGGCCACAUUAAGUUUUCGGAAAUCCUGACAAAUUCAGAUUUUUCCAUUCUUUUUUGGCACCAUCAUGAUUGGAGAAAUCUACUCACUAUUUGAUACCGAGUAAAUAAAACCAACUGCAAGAAGCUUGUCCAAUUCCUCCUUUACCAUGAGGAAAUAUUUAGGAUUAAGGCAAUGUUGCCUCUGUCGUACCGGUUUAGCGUUCUCCUCUAAAAUGAUAUGAUGCUCACACACUUCAACGGGAAUACCUUUUAAAUCAUCAUAAGUCCAUUGAAAAGUGGAUUUAUGAUGCAAGAAAAAUUCGGUCCAAUAGGUCAACCCUUGUUCCUUAAUACCUUCGUAGACCUUAAUUGUCUGAGGUUUUGUUCUGGUCGCCAAGUUGAUAGUUUGACAUAAAGGUGCAACAGCGAUGUUCUGUUUCAACCCCCGCUGUAGUUUAAAGUUAGUCAGUAAGUUCGACAUGUGAAGUACUGAAUCCUGUGUCUAGGGCACUGACAUGGUGUACAUCAUACUUGGUCAUCCAAUUAGUACUAACAUAAUCCGAGUUUUCCGAGUCCGUCGGGUAUAAUAAGUACUCCCUCGGACCUCCACAUUAGUACACCACUCCAGGGUGUAGUAUUGCCUCCACGGACGCCUCCAUAAUUGGUGCUACUGCGUCGUCGUCGGAGCUAAGCUCAUCGUUUGGCGUUAAUUCAGAUGCUGGUAAUUGAGACUCUCCGUGAUAGUAUACUAGGUACAUUUGUAACACCAUUUUGUCUCCGCCCUUGCCAAUUAUCAAAGUACGCCAACCCCAAUCAUUCUUGGCCUUUGCUUGAUAAAGCCAGGGUCGUCCUAAUAAAAUUGGAUACAAUAAAGUUAAACAUUGUAACCAAAAGAUGAUUUAGUCGAUUUCAUAUGUAAUACCAACAAUCAUAGUUUGAACCCCAUGGACGGUGCUAUUUGCUAUCCUGCGAUUGCUUCAUUCAUGUCCUGAAUUGGAUUCUUGUCUUUUUGUUGGCCUCUGGUAAGCACUACGUUCACCACCUCGACAUGAUGUACUGGUGAGUCUCGUUGAAUAGGGCCUUUGUCCUUUGUCGGUUGGCUUGUUUGCAUUUGCUGGUCCUGAUUAUUAUAACUAAAGGGCGCAUUGCAUUGCUGAUAAGUGUCACUAUACUGCUUACAAUUUCCACAUAUUGGAGCAUAGUCAUCACUAGCCCUUGGAUUAGGACAUUCACUCGCAUAAUAUCUGAUUUAUCCACAACGAUAGCAAUGAAGUGGUCUCCUACCACUUCCUUCAGGGAUAAUGGGUGUCACUACUAGUAUAUAAAAGCUAGGUCUGUUCCAUGUCGGAUGAGUAAAGGAUCCUAGUUGACCCAUUGUUACUGUAGAGUCUGGCAUUGGCUUCGUCAUAGGUAGAUAUUCAUAAUAUCCUUAUUGGUUCAUCGCCAAUCCGUGACUAUUUGAUAUGCCUUCUUGGUGAAAUUCAGAGUUGAGGAAAUUAGAAUAAUUCUUGUUUUGUUUAUUUGCUCGAUUUCCAUUCCAACAAAACCUAUUAUUCGUCUGUACUUAAUUGACAUCCUACAAAGUUGGUUGAGUCAUUAUCUGGUUACUGAGUUGUUGUUGCUUCCGUAAAUUCCAACAAUUGGUGGUAAUAUGCUUGCCCCUACAAAAAGUAUAUUGUACAAUCAUUUGGGGUGGUGAAAGACAUUCUGUUACUAAAUGACCUUGCCCCUUAGAAUUGUUGCACUAGACAUUGGGACGCAUAUUGGUUGAUUUAUGCCUUUUUUCUUUAUCCUUGGCCAGAUUCACAGCCAAUUCAUCCUUUUUUUUAGUCAAUGUUAACAUUACUGACUCAUUAGGAUCCCUUGAUACCAAUAUAUUUGGCAAUUCCUUUGUAGGUAUUGGUUUCUGAUAGGCGGAAUAAGGCGAAUACGGGUGUGAUGAUGAUGGUGGUACAGCUUGCAAUGGAACAGCAUCCACUAUUCCCUGUAGAAUUGUACCAUAAUCAUUCCUUCUUAGAUAACUUCUCGAUACAUCAUUCCAAUUUGUCAUUUGAUAGCCUCCUUGAUUAUUGGCUAUACACGCCGUCAAGAAUUGAGACAAGUAUUGAUCUGGAUCCGCACUUGGCAAACCCUGAAAAGUAGGUAAUGGCACGACGCUAGUCAUUCGAUCGUCCACUGCACCCAUUUGAACUGCAAUUGGAACUACUGAUCCUCCGGACGUCAUUAAAGAUAUCGGUGUUCCGCUCAAUUUCUUAUUAAAAAAAAUUUUCUCUUAUAAAAGUCUUUUUCGGACUUCUAGGCCUUCUCGAUUGACUAUUAUUAUCUCCAAAUAAUUUUACUGGUUGAAUAUGAGGUAAAAAUGAUAGGUUUUGAUAUUCUCUAAAUUGAUCUUUAUUGAUAAGUGAUUUAUGCCGAUCUUCAGAACCAGUCUUGUUAGGAUCGGACGUAUUUUUAAUUGAGAAGAUACCCAGUGGGGUACCUAAUUCCUUUGUGCCUUCCUCGUUUUCCAUUAACGGCUUCAAGAGGUUUGUUAGACUAUUAGCAACGCUCCCCGCGAGUGCUCUUGGUAAUUUCUUUAAUGGUAUGUACUUCUGAAAUAUUAGAGGUCGAUCGUCUUCUGGGUACGAUUGAAUAUGUCAAGAGGCAUGCAACCACGGCUUAAUCUAACUUUAUCGAUGCUUCUUUUUCAAUUUACGAUCUUGCUCAUUACGCAAUAAAUUUCUUGCUUGCGAUCUCUCUGUUCUUUCCUUUGAUUGUUUUAUUCUCUUUGCUAUUAAAUUCUUAUUCUUAAUAACCAUACUCUUUCUUCAAACACUACUGCUCAUCUUCUAUUGCCAAUUUUUUAACAUGUUUGAUAAUUAAUUCCUAACACUCAAAGCUAUUAUCACUCUCCGGCAGCGGUGCCAAAAUGUGAUUGCUCGUUUUACUUAUUCCGAAAGAAACCUCCCAGAAUAAACCUGUAUAGGGACAUUCGAACAUGGAAAAUGACUAGUUGCUUAAGCAUUCACGUUAGGGUCACACAAUCAAUUACCUCCUGAAUAUAUCGUCUCUAUUUCCAAUAUCUGAACAUACAAGGAAACUAUAAUCUCCUCCUUCACCUUAUCGAUCUCUUCCUUACAACAAUUCAGUCAUAUCAAUAACUGCUAUUUCCACCAAUAUAUUCACCCUCAUAAUCUUCAACUGUAAUACUGUGCCCUCACAGCUUUCAGCACACAAUUACCUUCGUUCCAAUCUCUGGAAUUCUUCACACAAAACUGCCAUUCACAUUAUAGUAUUUCACACAAACACAGACUCAUUCUCUCUGCUGAACUACAAUCAAAUUUCAUCAUUCUAUCUUUCAUCUUCUCAAAUAAUACCAAUCACAUUUCUAUUCCAUAAUUCACUUCAUAAUAUUCAGAAACUUUCAAUCCUCUUAUUCAAAGAAAGUAACAAAAAAAAAAAAGAGAUAGCACCAAGCUUACCCCGGCUCACAACUUUCAUAGUCUGGCCUUUUCUUCCCCUCUCCCAUCCUCUUUAUACUACCCCAAGAUACCAACUCCUAUACUACAGAUGAUAACUACUUUUCCUGACUAUUCAUCCAUUCUACCUGCUGAACCAUCUUUUCAGCAGUUAUCUAUCCCUGUUUACACUAUACAUUAGAUAUCUACAUUUUGAAAAUAACUACUUAUUCUACAAUUGGUCAAUCCUCCAUUGCUUUCAUGUUAUCUUUUUCCAUAUAGAUGUCUUUGGAGGACACCACAUGCUCCAUAAAGGUGACUUUUGACUUCCAAAGUUAACAUUUUGACUGCUUAUAAUAGGAGCAACUAUCUUGCAGUCAAUGUUGUACUUCUCAAAAAUAUUGCUUAUAUUCUUAAGAAGUUUUAUUAUAUAUAAGAAUAUCAUUGAUGAAGGUGAAUACAUUCUUGUCCAAAAGAUCUUCAAAUAAUCUGUUCAUAUAAUCCAUGAAAGAAGUUGGAACAUUGGCAAGAUCAAAAGAUAAAAUUAGCCAUCCAAAAUAUCUUGUGAAUCAUCAGAUUGACUCAUUAGUUGUUUUAGGACAAAAAAAUACAUGUAAAGUGCCAAAAUUAUAAUUAUUAGGUAAUAUGUGCUUAAAAGAUGUUAAAGAAAGAAGAGUAGUAUUAGUGGAGAAGAAAUGGAGUCUUAGUAAGUCUUAGAGGUAAUUAUUUUAGUUGGUUUAGUAUUUUUACUUAUUAUUGAGGAAUAAUAAUUAGUUACUAAAAUCAAUAUUUAUAUUGAACUUAUAUCUAUAUGUAUUAAUUAUGCAAAAACUAUAAAUGUUAGUUAGUAGUUAAAAGAAGCAUGAGAAAGAACCUCAUGUCUUUUUAAUUAUUUAUAUAUAAAGUAGAAUUUAUAGUAGAUUUAAAUUUAUUAUAUUAAUAUAAAAAAAUCAAUAAUAUAGGAAGUUAUAUUAAUAAAUUACUAUUAGCAUUAUAGAAACAUUAUAGGAAUUUUUAGAAUUUAUUUAAAAAUUAUUUAGAAUUUUUAGUAGAUUCAAAUUGAUUUUUAUUACUAUAAAAAAUCAUCAAUAUAGGGGAUUAUAUCUUUAAAGGGAUAUUUGAAUUAUAAAAAUAUAACAGGAAUUUUUAGAAUUUAUUUAGAAUUUUCUAUGAAUUUUUAGGAUAAUUUUCAAAACCUUGGUAAAAUUGAGUUUUACCACUUGGGAAGCCAUUAUGAAGAAAUGAAGCAAGUUUUGAAGGCCACAUAAUGAUCUUAAGCUAAUUGGGUAUUUUUGAACAUCAUGGUGAAGUCAAAAAUGCAAAAAUAUUAAUUCUAUUAGUAGAAAAUAGGAGGACCAGUAGCUAGUAUAGUCCUUGUAAGAAUUAUUUGCAAAGAAUUAUUUUUGUAACUUAACCUUUAUUGUUAAUUGUUAUAGUAGGUAAUUCCUUAACUAUCUUAUUGAUAAAAAGCAAGAAAAAAGGAGAGCUUGGACUCCUUGCCAUCCCGAAUAUGGAAUUCUUUUUCACAACUACGAUUGCUUCGGGUCACUCUAAUACAACAGUAAUUUUGUAUAACAAUUAAAGUUGGGAAUAGUCUUGCUUGAGGUGAUACUUUAGCAAGCAUUCUUCCUUCAGUUGUUUCUAUUUUAUUUUCCUUCCUUGUCGAAAGGUACUUAAGUAGGUUGCAAGUGGAAGAGACAAAUAUUUAAAUUAUUGAAGAAUUGGUUAGAUUAUAUUGAAGAAACACAAUAAGCAAGACACAAGUAAGUAGAAAACAGUAAAGUUAGACACAAGAGAAGUGUGGAAUGAGAUACCUCUUACUUCCAACACCCUUUAUUUAUAGGUAGAGAUUACAUCUAUUUUGGCUAGCAUUCAUCUUACUUUCAUCCAACUAAACCCUAGAUUCCUCUUAACCUAGCCACUACUUUAAACCCUAGCUGCCACCUAUAAGCUUAGCCACCAUCUAUGAGCCUAACUGCCACUUAUAAUUCUAGCUACCACCUUAAUAACUUUCCUUCAUCCUUUUGUUACCCUUUGACCAUUAUCAACUUAUCUAAGAUAAUAUCUUUUACCUUCUAACUUAUCCUCCAUUUAUUUUAACACUCCCACUUUGCUAUUGGUCAAAGGCUAAUAAACCUAAUCUCUUUGUCAAUUUUUUAUAUCUAUCUUUCACCAAUGCUUUUGUGAGCAAAUUAGCAAGCAUGUCUUCUGUUGCACAAUACUUCAUGUAAAUCACUCCCGUCUCAAUCUUUUUCCAUAUGAAGUGAUGUUGAAUGUCAAUGUCCUUUGUCCGUAAAUGAUGCUUUGGAUUCUUCACAAAAGCAAGGCAUUCUUGAUUGUCAGACUUCAUUGGAGUUGCUUCCAAUUAUACAAGUCCAAUGUCUUCUAAAACUUAUCUUAGCCAUAUUACCUCCAUUGCACCAUGACUUACUGCCAUGUAUUCCACCUCGAUUGUAGACCUUGCAAUUGUUGGUUGUCUCUUGCAAUUCCAUGAAAUUACUCCCACUCCAACAAAGAAUACAUAUCUCAUUGUUGAUCUUCUAUCAUUUGCAUCUUCAAUCCAAUCCACAUCACAAUAUCCAUUCAAUGUAAUACUAUCACCUCCAAGGCACAAUUUGAAGUUCAAAGUACCUUUUAAGAACGUCAAGAUCCUUUUAAUAAUUGCCCAAUGAAUUGGUCCAGUCUUUGAUAUGUGUUGACUCACAACACUCAUCGCAUAUGCAAGAUCCACCUUUGUACAAACCAUUGCAUACAUAAGUGAGCAUACUGCUGCCUUGUAUAGAACAUCUUUCAUUACUUCUUCAACUUCAGCAAAUUUCUCAUCUGUGAGCUUCAUCAACUUCAAAUUUGCCUCCAAAGGUGUUCCAAUGGACUUGCACUCCUCCAUAUUGAACCGUUUCAAUACUUCUUCAAUGUACUUCUUUUGGCUCAAUGUAAUGAUCUUUUUAGCUUGAUCUCUCACAAACUCCACUCCUAAGCAAUAGAGGAGCUCUCCCAAAUCACUUAUUUUAAAUUAUUUUGCUAGCUUUACCUUCAACCAAUCCAUCUUUUUCAAAGUAUUGGUCAAGAUGAUCAAAUCAUCAAAAUAAAGAAUGACAAUCAGCAAGAAGGCUUUUCAUUGCAUCACAUACAUGGAAUGAUUAGCAUCACUCUUCACAAAUCCCUCAUUCAAAAGGAAGGUGUCGAUAUGUUGGUACCAUAUCCUUGAUGAUUGCUUGAGCCUUUAUAAGGAUUUCUUCAACUUACACAAAAAGUGUUGUUUGCCAUCUUCAACAAAUCUUUGAGGUUGAUCUAUGUAGAUGUCUUCUUUCAAUUUUCCAUUCAAGAAAGCCGUCUUCACAUCUAUUUGGUGCAUCUCCAAGUCCAUUGCUGCCGGAAUUGCCUCAAUAGUUCUAAUAGUGGUGAAUUUGGCCACGGGAGCAAACAUCUCAUUGAAAUCAAGACAAGCAACUUGUGAGUAGCCUUUGGCAACCAAUCUUGUCUUAUACCUCACAACAUUGCCCAUUCUAUCCUUCUUUGUUCUAAACACCCACUUACAACCAAUUGAAGCUCGAUUUGGUGGAAGUUGAGUCAAUUCCCAUGUUCCAUUGUCCAUGAGUGAUUUGUAUUCUUCUUCCAUAGCAUUCUCAUACUUCAUAGCAUCCGUCGACUUCAUUGCAUCACAUAAAUUCAAUAGAUUAGCAAGAAGUACAACAUUGACAUGUUCUUUACUUACUUGAAGAAAAAUGUGGACCUUCCACCAUUCACUAUGUUAUUUUCUAUAUCUCAAAGGAUAUCUCCUUUCAUUUGAAGAAGACUCAACUUGUUGCACUUUAUAGUCACUUCCAAUCUUCUUUUCUUUUGAAGAUAGUCUUAUCUCACUCAAAGAUUCAUAAUCCUCAUCACCAUUAUCAUCAACAUCUUCAUGCUCUUCCUUGCUAGACUUAAUAAUUGUAGAGGCCUUCUUGUCCACCUUCUUUACUUUUUCAUCUUCAUUUCCACCUUUACAACCAUCAUUAUCUUUGUCUUCUUUCUUUUUUGUUGAAUUUGAAGAUGUAUCUAUAAACACACCAUUACUCCCACUUGGACACUCUCCAAGUACUCACAAGCACUCUUGUACUCCAAAAAUUCAACAUCAUGACUUUUAAAGAUCAUUUUAGUCUCUAAACUUAUGAGCCUAUAAGCCUUUGUACCUUCACAAUAUCCAACAAACACACAUUUUGUACCUUUUGCAUCGAAUUUUGAUCUCAUACAAUUUGGUAUCUUUACAUACGCUAUGCAUCCAAAGGUUCUCAUGUGAGAAACACAAGGUUUUCUCUCUCUCCAAGCUUCUUUCGGCGUCAUUGAUGUAAGUACACUUGUAGGACACCUAUUUCUUAUGUAUACUGUAUUCACCACUGCUUCUAUCCAAAACUCAUGUUCAAGGUGUUGUACAAAAAGGAUACUCCUUGUCAUCUCCACAAUAGUCCGAUUUACUCUUUCAGCAACUCCAUUUUGUUGUGGAGUGUAAGGAGUGGAGGUUUGUCUUGUAAUACCAUGCAUCUUUAAGAAAUCAUUGAAUUGCUUUGAUAUAUACUUACAUCCAUUGUCUGUAUGUAAUACCUUGAUUUUACAUUCACAUUGCUUCUCUAGAAGUACCUUAAAUUCCUUAAACCUUGUGAAAUACUCACUCUUUGCUUUGAAGAUGAAAAUCCACACCUUCCUUGAAAAAUCAUAAAUGAAUGUAACAAAAUUCCUUAUACCUCAUAUUAAUGGCAUCUUCAUAGGUCCACAAAUAUCAGAUUGGACAAUCUCCAAUAACUUGGUUGUACGUUGUCGUGUUGUGGUUCGGCUACUAUAUGAAAGUAAUGUAAUUAUGUACUUAAUAUAUAAUUUAUUAAGUAACAUGGUAAGAGCCAUGUUAGUAGAUUUUAGUUGGUUGUAGGAUAUAAUUUGGUUAUUAUUUUGAGAAGAGGUUGUUUAAAAAGGUUACUAUAGAAUUUUUAUAACUUUGAUUUCUUUUUCAUAGUGGCUUUUAAGAUUGGUUUAGUUCAUAGUGACUUCUAAAUAAUUAGAAUCACCUUUGUUAGACAUUGGUGACCUUUCAAAACUUCUUUUGGAUUUUUUAUUUGGUGUUAAAAAGACUCAUUAUAAAAAUCUUAUAAAAAAAAAGGGAUGAAGAAGAGGAUUUUGGUAGCAAAGGGAGGAAUUAGGGCACCAAUAUAGAUGAAUGGAGAUGAAAAAUAAAAAUCUCUAUUCCUAUUGGUCAAAAAUCAUGACCAAUGGGCUUUGAGGAGGCUGCCCGAGGCCAUAUUAGGGAUUAGGGUUAGUUUCUCGAGGCCAUUCGAACUUUGAAGGCUAGGGUCAGAAGGUUUAGGUUUUUGGAUAUGGUUUUGGUGCAAAAUUUGUGUCAUUUGGGGUUUAUAUGAAGAAGUUAUAGGCGCUCAAAGUUAAGGUUUAAGUUUUCGACGUACUGUCACUCUUUUGAGCAUACCGCACGCGUACGGACAGCAAACGAGGAUCGGCGACCGGAUUUGAAGAGAAACCUUUUUCGGCUACAGUUUGUGCAUACUGUUUAUCGAAUUCCAAGCUUUUAUGAAGGAGAUAUUGGCAGUUGAAGUCAGCGCUUGAUAUCUAAGGGUAGUAAGUAGCCCGAAUUACUUGUGCUUGUGAUUUGAGCUAUAUCUUAGACAAUUUGAUGAGUUUUUAGCUCAAAAGUUUCAAGAUUGAGUGUAAUCUUGUUAUAAAGCUUUCUAUACAAGUUUUGUGUGAUUUGGAGCUUGGGUUUAAGAGAUAUAAGGAAAAUAGUUUUCGGGUGCUUGUAAGUUAGGGUUUUGUGCACCUGCUAGGGUUUCUUAGAUGCCGAACGAUCGGUGAUAGAUGUACGGUUCAAUUUUUUUAUGGUAAAAUUUAAGUAUAGCAUCUAGCUUAUUUAGGAGUUUGAAACAAAGUGAACGGUGUGAUUAGCUUUUAUGAAUUUUCAAAGUUUGAUGUAAAAAGGUCCUUGGCGGGAAGAAAUAUAUUUUGAAGAAUUUUAAGAUAUUUUGAAUUUUUAUACAAAGCAAGGAGUUUAUUUUUGGGAGCUAAGGAAUUAUAUAAAAAAAGAAACCUAAACUCUCUACAGCUAGAUACCCGGUGUAUUCCCAGAUAGAAAAUCACGCCAUAUGACAACGUUUUGCAACUCUACUUGGAAAUGAGGCCCUAUGUUGUUUGCCUCGAAUACAACCUUCACUAGCAAAUAUCAUAGCAUUGUGGCUUAUAUGACCAAGAUCUAAGCCACUUACCAAGGAUUGGAGCCCCUUCAUGCUCUUGGCAUUCAAAUGACCAAGGCGUUGAUGCCAAAUGCCAAACUUGUCUUGAUCUUGAGGAAAUUUAGCAAAUAUCGCCACUUCAAGUCCUUUCACCAUUUUACACUUGAUGAAGUAGAGGUUGCCAUCUCUAAAGCCCUUUGUAAUAUGAUAUCUUUCCAAUGUCUUUCCAAAAUACCUAUUCUUAUCAAAUUACAUUUUACAACCAUGUGAAACAAGUUUACUCACUGAGAGGAGGUUUUUCUUCAUCUUUGGCACAUGUAAGACGUCCUUCAAUUUGUUCUUCUUGAUUUGGCCUGUCACAACAAUCUCUAUAACAAUGGAGCCCAUUCCAAUAGCUUGUACUAUGCCAUUGUCUUCUAUGAGGAUAUUUGCUGUUGAAAUCUCUUCAUAAGUGUCAAAUGAAUACUUGUAUGGAGUCAUAAAUUUUGGUGGCACCAGAAUCAAUGAUCCACUUAGACAUGGCAGCCAUGGAAGUGCCUUCACUUACCAUGAAUGCAUAAUCAUCACCUCUAUAUUUAUUACGAGCAUUGUUUGCACUUUUUCUAUUUCUUUUCUUAGCCUUGUAGUAAUUUCGAACAAAGUGACUUGGUUUUCCACAAAUGAGCAAGUUCUUGCAUUGCCACAUUGAUUAAAAUGACUCUCCUUGCCUUGUCUUAAAAAGAGAGCCGAAUCCUCACUUUGGAGCUCUUUUUCUUUCUUCUUAGUCACUUCACGGGCAAGUCAUGCCGUCACAUAAUCCAUUGUGAGUUCUUUUAGCUUGAUGGAUUCCAAUGCCACAAUGAGGUAGUUGUAGGAUUCAAAAAGGUUCAUAAGCAAGGUCAUGACAAUAUCACUCUCUUCUAAAGGCUUGUCAAGAAUUGUAAUUUAUUAGCAAGGACCUUUACCUUGUUGACAUGAACUAUGAGGGCUUCACCUUCUUCCAUCUUCCAAGUGAACAAUUUCCUCUUUGUGAACAUGAUAUUGGAUAAGUUCUUGCUCUCAUAUAUAUUGCAAACAGUCUUUCAUUCUUCUCCUAAUUCUUUACAAGAGAUGAUGUGAGAAAAGUUGACUUCAUCCAAAUUGGUGGCAAUCAUGCCAAAAUCUUUCUUUUUACGUCUUAUGAAGUCCUUCCUCUCUUUAGCAUCAGCAUGUGUUCUUGGAAGCUCUUCACUUUCAUCUACAAUGUUCUAAAGGUCCAAAGAUGCCAACAAAAGCUCCAUUUUGACCUUCCAAUGGUAGAAAUUGUCACCUCUAAACUUCUCAAUCACUUUCAAACCUUCACCCUCACUUGAAGUGAUGUCUUAGAAGAGGUCUAUCAAAAAAUAUCAAGAAAAAGAGUCUCUAUGUGCUUAAAAUAAUCAAAACAAUUUUACACUAGCAAAAUCCUAGAAUGCCUUCUUCUGAACAAAUGAAUGUUUCAUCACUCCAAACACUUGCAAAUCAACUUUUGAAGCUUCUAACAAGUAUGUGAACUCCAAUCAACCUCACCAUCAAGUUCUUCUAUUCAUAAAACUCACUUUUUCACCACAACACCAAAGACAUUAUCAAGGUCUUUGUAUAAGGUUUUAAUCACUUAAUCCUAGGAGUUAAGAACCUUCAAACUGAUGUUAGAGAUUUAUAAGGCCCAAAUCAAAACCUCUACAAAUCAAAACACAAGAUUAUAUUAUACAAUCUCUAAUAUCAACAAACACCAUAAGAUCUAUUCCACACAACAAUAACAACCAGCAAAUGACUUCAACUUACUUAAAAAGCACAAUAAAGUGUGUGUGAGCCCAUAACCUAUUGAAGAAACACAAUAAGCAAGACAUAAGUAAGUAGAAAUCAGCAAAGUUAGCCUUAAGGGAAGUGUGGAAUGAGAUACCUCUCACUUCCAACAUCCUUUACUUAUAAGUAGAGCUUACAUCUAUUUUGGCUAGUAUUCAUCUCUUUUUCAUCCAACUAAACUCUAAAUUCCAUUUAACAUAGCCCUUACUUUAAAACCUAGCGGCCACCUAUAAUCCUAGCUGCCACCUAUAAACCUAGCCGCCACUUAUAACUUAGUCGCCACCUUCAUAACUUUCCUUCAUCCUUUUGCUGCCUUUUGACCAUUAGCAACUUAUCUAAGAUAAUAUCUUUUAUCUUCUAACUUAUCCUCCAUUUAUUUUAACAGAUUAAAAGUCAUGCUAAGUUGAAUGGUAUGUCUAUAGUUGUGUAGAUGCAUCAUUCUAUUAGAUCUAAGCAACCCAACCUAUCUUCACGUAUAGGAAAUCUUGAAUCUUUUGGAAAGAAAAACAAAUCAAAGCUCAAACAAGUAGAAAUUCAAUCAUUGGUCAAGAAAUCUUCACCUCGAACAUUACAAAAAUUUCAUAUCAAAUCAAAUUGAAUCAAGUCUAGGCGAGGAAGUUAGAGAGAAGGGAUUGAAUCUUGAUUCUCUUAAAAUAGUUCUAAGGGUGAAUCAAGAGAGAAAAGAAUCAACAACUCUUUCUCCUCGAAUGGAACGUGAAGGAGAAUCUACACCAACUCUUUUAUCCAUCAACUCCUUGAUUCAACAAAGGGGCUUGCCAAUAGUAAUCCCUAAGGAUUUAUAAGCAACUCCUAUAUCCUACAACUUCUCUAUAUUUAAAGGGAUUAGAGAUGAUGAUCUAUCAGCACACAUCGUGAAAUUCAUGGAACUUUUCACAACGUGUUUAAUAACCAAUCCGGGUUAUUAUCUAGUAUGGUUUUUAAGUACCCUAAAAGAUGGGGCUUAUAAAUGGUAUAGAACCACUCUCCCGAAACCUUUAAGAACUGGGACAUGCUUAAGAGAGCAUUCUUAGAAAAGUUCAGGCCAGAAGUAGGGCAAGGUAAUGCCCACACAACCCUUUCUUCUUUGAGACAAGGAAUAGGGGGAAGAAAUCACGAAAUACAUUUGACAAUUUGAGCUUGUAGUAACCAAAUUUGUGGGAGCUCUUCUCAUGGAUGAUAUCCUCACUCAUUUCUUUAUUCAAGGAUUUAAUAGUGAGGAAAUAAUUUGAGAAAUCCUCAAGGGAAGACUGCAUAAUUUAGAAGAGGCCAAAAAAUUAGCUCAAGUAAUUGAGAAUAUUGAUAAGCAGCAAGAGUGAAUGUGGAAGAAGGAAGAUCUUAGAAUACCCAGCUUCAUCUCAAUACAUGCUUAGAACAUAAGAAAUUUCCAAGGACAUUCAUAUGGAACUGAGGAAAUUCAAUUUCAACCUAUGUACUACUAUCCAAUAGCUUUGGAUGUUAGAUUGCCUCCCAACCUUCUUGAAUUGACAUACCCAAAAGAUAGGAAUAGAUGGAAGGAAGACUUUAAGAAUGAAGUCAUUCAAAGCCAAUGGGGAUUUCAAAAUGAACUUGCCUAACAAAUGAAGGCUAUGCAAGAAUAGAUGAUUUUUUUAAUUAAGAGUCAAAAUCCAAACCAAGCCCCACCUGCUAUAGAAUCCGAUAGAUACACCUCAUGGCUUUGGUACACUCAAUGUAGCCAAUCAAGACAUACAAGUCAAUUUUAUUCAAACAAGCAAAAUUAUCAGCAAAAUCAAAGAAGGCCACAAUUGUAUGCUCCAUCUUAUAAAAAUCAUAAUAUGACAAGUUCUAAUUUCUAAUUCCAACCUCGAGAAAAUUCUACCCAAGGCUUUAAGAACAUACAACGAUAACAACAUGAAGUGCACCACCUUUGCAAAAAAAAACAUCUACCAAAGAAUUGUUGAAUAGAAAAUAGGGUAGUAUGUGGAAAUUGUGAGAGAAACUAUUUUACAGAUGUGUGUAGGUAAUCGAAUAAGGUGAUUCUUUUAAAAUUUUCUUAAAGAAAUUAUCAAUAGCAAGCUCAAGAUCAAUUAAAGGGGGCAAGAAAUCCAAAUCCGGAUAAUAUCCCAAGACCUUCUAACUUGUUUUAUGAUUAUAAUAAUAAUCGUCAAAUCCAACAUCCUCCCUUAGGUUUAACUACACAAAGAGGAUUUAUUUCAUUAAACAUAGAUCAAUCUCAAUAUGGCCAACAAAAUGAGGGAAGAAAUUCACAAAAUAUAAGGUAUUUAGAAAUAUCAAGUGAAGAACAAGGUUUUCAAACUUUUAGAGACCAACCAUUGUGUUCUUACACCUAUUACAUCUGUCAUAAAGGAACACCUAGUAAGGAUAAAUGACUUCCUAAUAUGCCAGCCUUAGCAGUUAUGACAAGGUCUAAGUAUAUCAGUCCUCCUCUUCCUACCUCCAUAGAUAGUGAGGAUAGUUCAGAGGACUCUCCUCAAUUUUUUGAUUUAAAUGAAGUUAUAAGAGAGGCAAUGGAUAAUGUGAGGAAAUCAAGAAAAAUAUCUUGUAAUUUAGAAUCCACCACGACUCAAAAAACUAAGAUAAGAAAAGAAAAAAUCUUGGUAUAGGAAUUUCCUUCUAUAGAAGAGUGAAAAGGUCUUAAGAUCCAUGAACUUGAAAGUGGUAUCUCAUUUCCUCUAAAAUAAAAUGAUCAAAGGGAGUUUUAUGACUUAUGGGAAGAUUUGAACAAAAUUGAGGCUGAUAUAACUAUUUCUCAAUUAUUGGAGGGUUCUCCAAUAAUGAAAAAAGUAUUUAAAAUAGGCUUGUCUAUUAAGAGACACCAAAGGACUAAGGCAAAAGUUCAGGCCUACAUCAGAACAAUUCAAGUGGCACAAGAGGUGAAGGCAAUUGAAUUAGAAGUAUACAUAGUGGAUAAAAUCAUACCUUAUACCAUUGUGGAUGGAAGUAGUAGAUAAAAUAUUAUGCCAGUAAGGACUAUAGAAAAAUUAGGACUUAGUAUCAUAGGAUCCUCUCCCUAUGUGAUUAACAUGGCUAAUCAAAGCCAAGACACUCCUUUGGGGCAGAUUAGUGGUUGUAGAAUGAUGACGGGAGGUGAAGAGUAUUUUUUCAUAUUCCAUGUUAUAUGCAUGCAUCCUAGUAAAAAUUCAUAUCCAUUGCUUUUAAGUAGACCAUGGUUAAGGGCAGCAUGUGCUAAGAUUGAUUGGGGUGGAAAAAAACCUCAUAUUAUUGUAAACCUCAGAUUCUAGUGGUCUUACGGUUGGAAAUGACAUAAUUAGUUAUCCACAAAUUCCAAAUGAUUGGUAUAAAGUCCCUAUAGAACAAGCUCAUGUGUACAACCUUGAUUACAAAUUAAUGGAUGUAUCUUUCAAGAAAGAAGAUCCAAAACUCAUCAAAGUAGGGAUUCAAUUGACAGAGGAUGACUUGACAAGUUACAAGUUGUUAAUUAUGAAGUAUAGGGAUGUAUUUACAUGUUCUUAUAAAGAUCUUAAGGGCAUACCUCUGGAAGUAGUCCAACAUAGAAUCCCUCUCGUCCUUGAUUCAAUUCCUAUGAGACAAAAAGAAAGAAGAAUGAAUAUCAAUCUGUAAUUAAUUGUUAAAGUAGCAUUAGAAAAACUCCUCCAAGCAAGAUUUAUUCAACCUGUGGAGAUUACGGAUUGGAUUUCACCUAUGGUUUUAGUCAAAAAGAAGAAUAGAAAACUCUAAGUGUGCAUAGACUAUAGGAGACUUAAUAAGUGUACUCAAAAAGAUCAUUUUCUUCUCCCUUUUAUUAAUACUAUUUUAGAAGAAGUGACAAGUCAUGAACUUUAUACAUUUAUGGAUGGAUAUUUGGGAUAUAAUCAAAUAUCCAUAGUCCAAGAAGAUCAUCACAAAAUUGCUUUCACUAUGCCAUGGGGUACUUUUAUUUAUGUAAUAAUGCUUUUUGGACUUUGUAAUGUUUCUGCGGCAUUUCAAAGGGCCGUGUCCUAUGCGUUCUCCAACCUUUUACAUAAAUCAAUGACAGUUUUCAUUGACGACUUUUUUACCCAAUCUUCUAAAAUAAAAUAUUUAGAAUAUAUUCGGGCUAAUCUUUAACGUUGUCGAAAGGCCAAGAUUGCACUAAACCCUGACAAAAUAUUCUUAGCAGUUCAAAAGAAAGUUCUACUAGGAUAUGUGGUGUCAAAAAAAGAUAGAGAACCUGAUCCAGAAAAGGUCAAAGUUAUUAUAGAUUUAAAACUUCCUUCUAUGGUGAAAGAGGUACAAAGGAUGUUGGAACACAUAGGGUGGUAUUGAAAAGUCAUACAAGAUUAUGCUAUACUUUCCAUAUCCAUAACUCAACUAAUAUAAAAAGAAGUGAAGCUUGAAUGGGGUGAAAAAUGCCAAGAGGUAUUUGGUAUCCUUAAUGUAAAACUUAAUAUUUUUUCUAUCUUAAGACCUUUCAAUUGGUCAUUGUCCUUCCAUGUGCUUUGUGAUGCUUCAUUGGGAGUUGUAGAGAGCAUGUUGUGUCAAGUAAGUGGAGAGAAAGGCUUAGAUUAUCCUAUUGCCUUUGCUAGUAGGCAAUUGAAUCCUACAGAGAGGAAUUAUGCUACCAUGGAAUGAAAAUACCUUGCCAUGGUUUUUUCCAUUAAGAAGUUUAGACAUUACUUUCUCUUAAAUCCAGUGGUGUUUUUUGUAGACCACAAGAUAAUCAAGUACCUUGUGAAUAAGGCUGAUUUAAGUAGUAGACUUACAAGGUGGAUACUUCUACUAGAAGAAUUUGAUUAUAUGCUAUAAUAUAAGCCAAGAAGGAUGCACAAGCAAGCAGAGUAUUUAUCUAGGUUGUCAAAUCAAAUUAGUGAAGCCCCAAUUUAUGACACAUUGAUAGAUGAAACCUUGUUUACCAUUUCAAUCACGCCCACUUGGUAUGGAUUAAUUACCAAGUUUUUGACAAUUCAAGCCUUGCCUCCUCAUCUUUCUAAAAUAGAACAUAAGAAGGUAAGAAUUAAUAGUAGAUACUUUGCCAUAGUUGGCGGCAAAUUAUAUAGAUGUGGAAUUGACAGGAUGUUAAGGAAGUGUGUAAUGGAAGAAGAAAUUCUUACAAUUCUAUCAGCAUGUCACGAUAGUGCAUGUAGGGGUCACUUUUCAGGAACCUUAAUAGGCCAAAAAAAUACUUAGAGCAAGUUUUUAUUGGCCUAUUAUUCCAAGAUGCACAUAGAUAUACUAAGACAUGCAACGCAUGUCAACGAUAUGCUACGAAUGACCUAAAGAUGAGUUUGCCUCUUCAUAUGUCCCUACUUUUAGUUCCCUUUGAAAAAUAGAAAAUUCAUUAUAUUGGAGAGGUUCACCCCAAUUCCAUUAGUGGUAUGAAAUACAUAGUGGUAGCAACCAAAUACUUGACAAAGUGGGCUUAGGCAAAGGCAGUUAAAGCGAACAAUGCCAAACAUGCUUCCAAAUUUCUCUAUGAAUAAAUCAUCACUAGGUUUGGAUGUCCGAAAAUUCUAAUUAGUGAUAGAAGCAAGCAUUUCUUAAAUGAAGUGAUAGAAGAUUUGACCUCCCGAUUUAAAAUUGACCAUAGAAAAACUACUACUUAUCACCCUCUAACAAAUGGGCAUACAGAAAGAGUAAAUCAAACCUGACUCAAUAUCCUUAGAAAAAUUGUCAUAAUAUCUAAAAGAGAUUGGAAUACAAAGCUCCUUGCAGCCUUGUGGACUUAUAGAACAACUUUUAAAGUGACAAUCCAAGGAAUUCCAUUUUCUUUGGUUUAUGAAAUAGAAGCUAUUUUACUAAUUGAAUUUAAAAUUCCUUCCUUUUGAAUCACCUUGAAAGAAGGAUUUUCAACUAAAUAAUCUUUAAUGGAUAGACUAGAGCAAUUAGAAGGUCUAGAUGAGACCAGAAGACGAAGUGCUCAACAUACAAAGGACAUCCAAAGAAGAAGAAAAUUUUCCUUUGAUAAAUGACAUAAAGUUAGAAUCCUUAAGCCUGGCAUGUUAGUUCUCUUACAAAAUGCUAAGAGACUAGAUUUUCCAAGGAAAUUUGAUGCCAUAUGGUUGGGCCCUUAUUUAGUCAAGAAAGUCUUUUCAAAUAAUCCAAUUUGGCUACAAAUAUUCAAUGGCAAAGAUUUUUCCACUAGAACAUCUGAAAAUAGAUGUAAAGAAUAUAGAGUGUGAUUUUUAUCAUACACAAAGUCAAACGGCUCAUCUUCAAAUUCACUCUUAUUCAAUUCCUUAAGUAGCAGAUUAUCAAACCCGGAUCGAAUUUAAAAGCUAAAACAUUGGAGCUCAACAUAAGCUAUAGUCAUAUUCAUUUUCAUAUCUUCAUUUCAAUUUAGAGAUAUUCUAAUUAAGAGAGACGAUUCUUUGAUGAAACUUAUAUAUAUAUAUAUAUAUAUAUAUAUAUAUAUAUAUUGUUAUGAUUGAGAAUUAUAAAAAUGUAUCUUAGUAAACAUCUAAAAAAUAUAGAUGGAUUAGUUGAGUAAGAGGUUGUCAAGUAAACGUCCCGGGUUCGAAUCGGGUUGAAAAAAAUGCACUAUUCCAAUGAACUAAUAUUAGUACAGGAAAAGACCAAUAUUGUACCCUCUAUGGAUAUAUAGGCCUUUAUGGCUUUAUAUCAAAAUCCUCUCAUGUCAAAGAGGGGAAUGGAGAUACCACCUUUAUAGCCUUAGUCUUAUCCAUCUUGUUUUAGAAUCAUUCAUUUUUAAGAUUAAAUUAAAUUUUUUUCUUUCUUCUUAUAUAAUUCUAUAGAAAAAAAAAUCUAUUUUAGUUUCUAUUGACUAGUAGCAACUCACUCAUUCUUGACUUGGAUAACUAUUGAAACCUUCUAUAGACAAACCCUCUUUUUAUUCAAUAGUAUUUUGAGAAUCUAGUUCUAAGUUCCUCUCCAUUGCAAGUCGUUUUAGAUGGUCAUGAUGUAUGAGUCAUUAGAUUGAUUCAUUAGUUAUUUUAGGACAAAAGAAUGCAUGAAGAGUACCAAAAUUAUAAUUAUUAGGUAAAGAUGUGCUUAAAAGAUGUUAAAGAAAAAAGAGUAGUAUUAGUAGAGAAGAAAUGGAGUCUUAAUAAGACUUGUAAGCAAUUAUUUUAGUUGGUUUAGUAUUUUUACUUAUUAUUGAAGAAUAAUGAUUAGUUACUAAAAUCAGUAUUUAUAUUGAUCUUAUAUCUAUAUGUAUUUCUUAUACAAAAACUAUAAAUGUUAGUAAGUAGUUAAAAGAAACAUGAGAAAGAACCUCAUGUCUUUUUAGUUAUUUAUAUAUAAAGUAGAAUUUAUAGUAGAUUUAAAUUUAUUACAUUACUAUAAAAAAAUCAAUAAUAUAAGAAAUUAUAUCCUUAAAUUUCUAUUAGCAUUAUAGAAAUAUUAUAGGAAUUUUUAGAAUUUAUUUAGAAAUUAUUUAGAAUUUCUAGUAAAUUCAAAUUGAUUUUCAUCACUAUAAAAAAUCAUCAUUAUAGGGAAUUAUAUCUUUAAAUGGAUAUUAGAAUUAUAGAAAUAUAAUAGGAAUUUUUAGAAUUUAUUUAGAAUUUAUUUAGAAUUUUCUAUGAAUUUUUAGGAUAAUUUUCAAGACCUUGGUAAAAUUGAGUUUUACCACUUGGGAAGCCAUUAUGAAGAAAUGGAGCAAGGUUUGAAGGCCACACAAUGUUUCCAAGAUAAUUGGGUGUUUUUGAACACCAUGGUGAUGUCAAAAAUGUAAAAAUAUUAAUUCUACUAGUAGAAAAUAGGAGGACCAGCAGCUAGUAUAGUCCUUGAAAGAGGGGAGGUGCACAAGGCCCAUAUGGGUUGUAGCACCUUGGAUGUAGGUAGGAAGAUAAGACUAAGGCCUCAAGGCCUCUUUAGGCAACCAAUAUAUACUACAUAUGAGCCUUGGUGAGGCUCAAGCCCUUGAUCUAUAAGCAAGUUAUCCUUGAGGUAAAAUAUUUUUACUUCACUUUUUAAUUAUUUGCUUCCUAUUUUUUUAAAACUUCAUAACUUACUCAUAGUAAUUCGGAUUUAUAUGUUUCUUACGUCAUUGGAAAGAUAAUAAAAUUACCUAUCUAAAAAUUUACUUUUUAUUUUUAUUUUUUAUUGUAUAAAAAUAUAGUGAAUAGACUGUGACUUAGUUUUUGAUUGUAUACUUGUUUCAUGUCAUUCAUUUCAAUUGUUUUGUGGUUUUUCAUCUUUUGUUCUUGUUAAUUGCUUACUUCCCUUUAUACCACGAAUUAGAAGCAAUUCUUAAUUGAGGCCAUCUUGUAAUUGGGGUUAAAGAGUGAAAUUUACACUUAUAGUUUGUGAAGAGUUCGUAUUUAAGGAAGUUUAAAUUAAAGAAUGGUGAUUAUGAAGGCUUUGAUGGCAAGAAUUAUUGCUUAUUUUUUAAUUAGGGUUAGGAAUUUAAGUAGCUCAUCAUUGGUGGUAAGUGUUCUUCAUCUCUUCUUUAUUGGUGUAAGCAAAGUAUUUCUAAUUCUCAAAUUAUAAGAUAGUCAAAAAUUCCAUUGUUAAGUUGGAUGUUGAUUUGAUCUCGGGUUUUCAUCAAACAAUUUUUAUGUGUUGUAAUUUUUGAGUCAAAAAUUCUUGAGGUUGUGUGUCUGGAUGUAAGCUAUCACACAUUCAAAUUGAAGUUGAUAAUAAGAUGAAUGAGUGAUAAUAUAGUAAUUUAGGUACUAAAAAAUAUAAUUAGAGGGUAAUUAGGGAAAAAAAAUUUAUUUAGGAUAUGUCAAGUUGAGGGUGGUAAUUCCCUUGUCGUUCAAGAAUUUACUAAGAUUCCUCCAAAUUUUUGUGUACUUGAAAGUUUUUGUAGUUGAACUUCAUUAAGGAUUUUUUUUAUCUUCUAAAUUUUAUGGCGAUCCAAUGCGUGAUGAUUGAGCGAUGAAUUUUCAAAAUAAUGGGACUUGAGUUUUUCUAAACAGCAGAUCCUUUUCUAAUUAAAAAUUUAUUAGAAAUUGAUAAAUGAUUCAAAGUUUAAAACUCUAUUUUUUUUCCAAAACUUUACUUUGCAAUGCUUCUUCUACAAUAAAAUUCAGCACAAAGACUUAAGUGAAUACUAAAGUAUGUUUUUUCAAAGAUAAUUUUUCUAACUGCUAACACAACAAAAUUCUUCUCACUUAAUAGUUCAUUUCAAAUUUUUUAUAGCUUGGAAGAUAGCGAUUCAAACUUUGUAGUAAACUAGUUCCAAAAAGCACUCAUUUCAGAAAUUGAUAUCAAAUUUGAGGUAAAGAUCAUCAAGUUAUGGAUUUUUAAAUUUGAUGCUUUUAUGCUACUAAAGGUAGUAGAUCUGUGCUAUUUUAAAAAUUUUGCAAAAAUCCGUUAUAGCUCCAAAUCAAGCAUUCUUUAUGCCGUUAAAAAUCUAAGAGUGAGAAAAAUUUGGCUACAAAGUUUCAUAAAAAGAAAAUAAAAAUAGAUAGAUUGAUCAAAACAACCAAGAUAGUAUAAGAUUAAGGGAUAGGAUUUGCAUUCACAAAAUGGGGAAAUAUUUUGCCAUAGCUUCACUACAAGAAAAGAAAUAGAGAGAGAGAGGGAGCUCAGCCACCUAAGCCCUCUUAACUAGGAGGAUGGAGGCCCAAAAUAAGCAAACACAUCUCCACCAUGUAGAUAAAAAAUCCCAAACCAAGCUCAAGAAUCAAUAGUGAUUAUAAAUUUAAACCAAGUUUUAAGUAUAGAAAUGCCUAUAUCUCAAAAAUAAAUGCAUUUUUAGAAAAACUAACACCACCAAUGUAUUCAAAACACAUUUUUUUCAUUAGAUUGGCUAUUCACAGGCCUAAAUCUAAAUUAUAAAAUAGUAAAAUAAAUUAACUUACUAAUCUAGUUAUAAAAUUCAAUUAUAAUUCUAAAUCUAAUAACCCUAAUUAAAAAAUAAGCAAUAAUUCUUGCCAUCAAAGCCUUCAUAAUCACCAUUCUUUAAUUUAAACUUCCUUAAAUACGAACUCUUCACAAACUAUAAGUGUAAAUUUCACUCUUUAACCCCAAUUACAAGAUGGCCUCAAUUAAGAAUUGCUUCUAAUUCGUGGUAUAAAGGGAAGUAAGCAAUUAACAAGAACAAAAGAUGAAAAACCACAAAACAAUUGAAAUGAAUGACAUGAAACAAGUAUACAAUCAAAAACUAAGUCACAGUCUAUUCACUAUAUUUUUAUACAAUAAAAAAUAAAAAUAAAAAGUAAAUUUUUAGAUAGGUAAUUUUAUUAUCUUUCCAAUGACGUAAGAAACAUAUAAAUCCGAAUUACUAUGAGUAAGUUAUGAAGUUUUAAAAAAAUAGGAAGCAAAUAAUUAAAAAGUGAAGUAAAAAUAUUUUACCUCAAGGAUAACUUGCUUAUAGAUCAAGGGCUUGAGCCUCACCAAGGCUCAUAUGUAGUAUAUAUUGGUUGCCUAAAGAGGCCUUGAGGCCUUAGUCUUAUCUUCCUACCUACAUCCAAGGUGCUACAACCCAUAUGGGCCUUGUGCACCUCCUCUCUUUCAAGGACUAUACUAGCUGCUGGUCCUCCUAUUUUCUACUAGUAGAAUUAAUAUUUUUACAUUUUUGACAUCACCAUGGUGUUCAAAAACACCCAAUUAUCUUGGAAACAUUGUGUGGCCUUCAAACCUUGCUCCAUUUCUUCAUAAUGGCUUCCCAAGUGGUAAAACUCAAUUUUACCAAGGUCUUGAAAAUUAUCCUAAAAAUUCAUAGAAAAUUCUAAAUAAAUUCUAAAUAAAUUCUAAAAAUUCCUAUUAUAUUUCUAUAAUUCUAAUAUCCAUUUAAAGAUAUAAUUCCCUAUAAUGAUGAUUUUUUAUAGUGAUGAAAAUCAAUUUGAAUCUACUAGAAAUUCUAAAUAAUUUCUAAAUAAAUUCUAAAAAUUCCUAUAAUAUUUCUAUAAUGCUAAUAGAAAUUUAAGGAUAUAAUUUCUUAUAUUAUUGAUUUUUUUAUAGUAAUGUAAUAAAUUUAAAUCUACUAUAAAUUCUACUUUAUAUAUAAAUAACUAAAAAGACAUGAGGUUCUUUCUCAUGCUUCUUUUAACUACUAACUAACAUUUAUAGUUUUUGUAUAAGAAAUACACAUAGAUAUAAGAUCAAUAUAAAUACUGAUUUUAGUAACUAAUCAUUAUUCUUCAAUAAUAAGUAAAAAUACUAAACCAACUAAAAUAAUUGCUUACAAGUCUUAUUAAGACUCUAUUUCUUCUCUACUAAUACUACUCUUUUUUCUUUAACAUCUUUUAAGCACAUCUUUACCUAAUAGUUGUAAUUUUGUCACUCUACAUGUAUUCUUUUUUUCCUAAAACAACUAGUGAGUCAUCUGAUGACUCACACAAAUCCAAAACCUAACUGCAAAUUGGACUUGAAUUAAUAUGCUUGUGAUUUUUUUUUUUUUUUUUUUCCAUUUUUUUUUCUAUUUUUCAAUUUCAAGUGAUCAUUAAAGUUACUAUGAGAGGAAACUCAACCAAAAAAUUUAGCUUGUCUCCAUCUUUUUAAGAUCAUCAUUAAUUUAAUAAUUGGACUUUAUAUUUUUAAUCCAAUUAAAUUAUAAAAUAAAUUUUAAGUUUUAAAAACUUAAAAUUAAUUAAGAAUAUAGAGUAAUUAGAUUUAAGAAAUUUUCUAACAAUAGUCAAAUUAAAAAUUAGCUUUUGGAUUGAAAAUUAAGAUUGUAGAUAAAUUUUAGAUAUAAUUUUUAAGAAUUGAAAGAAAAGUUUUACUAAAAUUCUAAUUUUAUUACUAAAAGAGGAUUUAAACUAAAUUAAGAAAAAGAUAUUAUAGACCUUUUAAACUUACUAUUUUAGAAUUUUUAACAAUCACACAAUCUAAUAGUUAUAAGUAUCUACAUAAUUAAAAACCAAAAGCUAUAAUUUAAGUCAAAAUUAACCAAAAAAAUAAUUUGGAUCUAUAAAUUAAUCAUAUUAGCAUUAAAAUUAAUAAAAAUAUGUUAAAAAUUAUAAAAGUGAUUAUACCUAACUAUUAGAGCUAUUAAUUGUGCUCACACAUGGCGACUAAGUGGGACGACUUGAAGAGAAGAAGAACUCAAAUUUUACUAUUAUUAGAAGUAUUAGUUGCUUUAUUUAUUGAGUCACAUGAUCUUAGGAAGUUAACUUAUGGUUGUAACCAAGAAGAAAAUUAAACUUAGACUUUUUUGCUCUCAGCUUAGUUAGCUUAGACCUAUAGAAAAAAUAUACAAAAAAACCUAUUCUUCCUAAUAGGAACCAGUUUGAAUCUAUAGCCAAAAAUAAAUAUUGCAAACCUACCUUCUACCUUCAUCGCAAUGAAUUUGGAUUAAAAAAUAAUAGAAUUUUUAGAAGAAUUAGAAUUUGAUGAGUUAAAAUAUUAAUGAGAGCUUGUAUUUGUAUAAAUCUAAAUAAAGAAUUCUAAAAGGUUAUGUGCAUCGAUCUAAACGUACCUAUUUAGGGGGAUCCUAUUAUAUCCAUCAUAUAUAUAUUUAUAUUUAUAUAUAUUUUGUAUUUUCACUAGCUCACAACAAGAUAGUACCAAUCUAUAAAGUUACAAGAUUUAGACUCAAUCGCAAUUUCAUUUGACUCCUUGUAUUCAUAACUCGAUAUUAUUUGAAAAUAUUCUAAACUCUUUAAUAGUAACAAGUUGUUGGUAAACUUUAAAUGUUAAAACUUCUAAGUCUCUUAUUGUCCUAGUGAAUGUCUACAUAGAGAAAUUUUAUUAUAUAAGUCUAGAAAGUGGUUGAUAAAUGCUAGGUAGUAGUAAAAAUCUAAUCUUUAAGCUUUAUAUUCUUUAUAUAUAUUUUUAGAAGUUAAAGUUGAAAAGUCUUUUCUAUUUAAGGUUUAUAAUUGAAUAAAUUUUUUAGAAAAGACUUCCUUCAUCACAUAGGGAUUUAGCCAAAGUGUAUCAAACUUGCCCAAUAAAGUAAAGCUUUCUAGCAACUUAAAGUAGGACCAACAUGUCAGGUUGAAGAACCUAAUUUUUGUGUCUUUUAUCAAAGACAAUUUUGCGCUUCUUUUGAAUAGCUUCUAUAUGUUAGGUACUCAUCUUAAGUAUCUUAUGCUUCACUUAGAUGGAGUUAGGUAAUAGAAGAAUUUUGCAUUUAGGAGGCUGCCUGCGACCUUGAUAAGGGUUUCAGCGACUUCAAAGAGACCAUUAGGAAAUCAAAGGCAAUGGUUGUAAAGUUUAGGGUUUUGGCUACAAUUUUUGUGCAAAUUUUAUAGGGUUUGGAGUUAGGGUGAAUAAGUUAUAGCCAUUUGAAGUUAAGGUGUCAAUUUGAGACCUAUUGUUACUCUUUUGAGUUUAAGAGGAGUCUUACGGAAGCUUUUGGAGAUCGGAAGAGGCGGCUGGAAGAGCAACUUCAAGACAUACAUCUUUUGUGAAGGAAAUUUUGCAUUUGGAGUUUAUGUGAAGGAGUUAUAGGGAGAUAAAGACAGCGCAUUCAAAUCAAAAGCAGUAAGUGAGUGAUUUUGUUCAAAGUAGUUUUAGGAGCCAUAACUUGAGUAUUCGAACGAAAUUUUGGCUCAAACUUUGAAAGAUUGUAAAAAUUUGUGUUAAAAAGCUAUUUAUACAAGUUUCGUGGCAUUUGGACUUAUGGUUUGUGAGAUAUGAAGAAAUUACGCGCGGGUAUAUAAAGAUUAGGGUUUGAAGCAAUUGUUAGGGUUUUGAAGAUAUCUCAAGAUCCGCGACGAAUUUGCAGUUGAAAUUUGUUGUACAAAUUAAUAACAACAUAUCAAUACUUCAUAUAAAUUUUGAUCUUGUGUGGACGGUUGGAUCAAGAGUUAUGAGGUGUUGAGGUUCGAGAGAAUUUCUACAUAAGGAUUUACAAGGUUUUAGAGUACUUCUACCAUAUUUUGGAUGUUGUUGGUUAUUUAAGACUUAAGUAUUUGGUGUAAUUGUCCCAAAAGGAGAACUUAUAUAUAUAAAAUUAGGAUUUCCUUAUUUUAAGCUUGAUUGAGCAAUUAGUGACAGCCAGAAGACCAGCGCUUUCUUGAGGCAAAACCUCUCUACCCCGACACUACCUCUACACCCUAACGCACUUAAUUAGGUCUAUCCUAAGUACAUUCGACGUGACCUCCUCCAGAAAUUGAAAAUCCAUCUCGAGUUUUAUGUAUGAUAUAAUCGUAAUCAGUUCCCGUUAAUGUGGAUACUGAAACGAUGACCCAUGAAAUCCUCCAAUUAAACAGACCCAUUGAAAAACCCUUCAAUCACAUGAUAUGGCCAUGCCAGCAAACUUAAAAUUUUCUCGGAAAAUGAUUAAACAAUCAUACAACAAUACCAAAUCAUUGGGCAUAAAACGCUUUGGACAAAGUUUACUAUCAUAGUAACUCUUCCGUCAUUUUUGAGUUGCUUCCAUGUUGAAGAGAGCUGUAGCCCAUAUUUCAUACAAUUUGUCCAACUGUGCCAACUGAUAUUGGAGUGAUUUCUUAUCUUCAAGACAUUCAUCCAACACAAUGCGCAAGUUUGACUUCCAUUCAAUGGUUCAUAUUGCUUCUUGCCCGUACGUAAUUACAAUGGUGUGGAAUUGGUAGUCACUUUAUAUGCAGUACGAUACUUCCAAAAUGCUGCAAAUAAUUUAGUAUCUCACCUUACUGACAUUAUCAUUGCGAGUAGGAAUAGUCUCCACCCAUUUUGUUACAUAGUCCGUGGCGACUAAAAUAUAUCGCUUUUGUCCAUAUCUCGAUGCUGGUGCAAUGGGUCCAACAAAAUCAAUUCUCCAUUUUUCAAAUUGUGUAUGUACCAAGAUUGGUACUAACGAUAUUGCUGAAGUAUCUGUGGAUCGACCAAUUUGUUGACAGGGAUGACAACGACGAACAAAUUGGUGCACAUCAGAAUACAUUGUGGGCCACCAAUAUCCGGCCAUUAAAGCCUUGCGAGCAGUACUGUCUCCUGCAAAAUGUCCACCAUAACUUUCUAAAUGACAUCCCUCGAGUAUCAAUUAUACUUCAGUGAGAAAGAUACAACGGCAUAGAAUUCUAUCCCGGCCUUGCUUAUACAAGGCGUCUCCCAUCAUCGUAUAUGGUGUACUUUUUAAAAUCAGUUGUUUCUGGAAUUCCUCACUAUAUGUAGGUGGAAAUGUUUGAAAUGUCAGAUAUUGAAUCAAUUCACUAUAGUCGGUUGUAAUCACUUUGACAGCAAAUAAUGACAUGUUAGGAAGUGCAUCACUAAUAGGCUCAUUAUCCAAGAUAUUGGACAAUCGGGACAAGUGCUCCGCAUUGGCAUGUUUCUUUCCUGGUCGUAUAUUGAUAGUAAAAUUAAAUUCUCGAAGUAAUAACAUCCAUCGAGCAAUGCAUCCACUGAAUUGAGGCUUAUUAAUCAUGUAUUUGAGGGCAUCAUGAUCCACAUAAAAGACAAAGGGAUAACCAAGAAAAUAGUGCCAAAAUUUCUGAACUGAGUAUAUCAUAUCCAACGCUUCUCGUUCAGUAGUAGUAUAAUUACGUUCGAUAGCCACCAAUUAUCGACUAACAUAAUAGAUAGGAUGAUCCAAACCUUGAUCAUCUUUCUGACUUAGCACCGAUCCAAUAGCCACAUUGGAUGCAUCAACAUACAUAUGAAAGGGCUCGAUCCAACGAGGGGCUACCAAUAUUGGUACAGAGACCAAUUUUGACUUCAAUGCUUGAAAGGCCACUGUACACUCUAUGGUCCAGAUGGGACUAGUCCCAUCUAAUGGAGCUAUCUUCAGUAAAUUCAUUAAAGGUUGACAAAUAUCUGCAAACGACCAAAUAAAUCAUCGAUAAUAACUGACAUGGCAGACGAAUCCUUGAACACCAGAGACCGUCUUUGGUCUGGACAAGUUCAUUAUAUGUGUUACUUUCUCAAGAUCCAUAGUGAUACCAUGGCUAGAGAUGAUAUGUCCCAAUAAUUUUCCUGACGGAACACCGAAUUGAUACUUAUCCGAGUUCAACAAUAUCCCAAACUUAGCGCAUUGAGCCAAGCAUUUGCCAAGACAAUUAAGAUGAUCUUGUUUUGUACUAAAUGCACAGAAGUCAUCUAAAAAGAUCUCCAUAAACAGCCGGAGAUAGUCUUGGAAGGCCUAAGUCAUCACUCUCUAAAACCUAGCUGGGGCGUUACAUAACCCAAAAGGCAUCACGCGAUAAGCGAAUGUGCCUCAAUCCGUAGUAAAUGUCGUCUUGAGCUGAUCUUUCGUUGCAAUUUGAACCUGAUUAUAUUCGAAAAAUCCAUCUAGGAUCGAAUAACAUUCAUGACCUGCUACAGCGUCUAAUAUACUAUCCGUGAAGGACAAUAGGAAGUAAUCUUUCUUGGUGGCCGCAUUAAGUUUUUGGAAAUCUUGACAAAUUCAGAUUUUUCCAUUCUUUUUCGGCACCAUCACGAUUAGAGAAACCCACUCACUAUUACGAACCAGGUAAAUAAAACCAACCGCAAGAAGCUUGUCCAAUUCUUCCUUCACCAUGAGGAAAUAUUUUGAAUUAAGGCGAUAUUGUCUCUACCAUACCAGUUUAGCGUUCUCCUCUAAAAUGAUACGAUGCUCACAGAUUUCAACGGGGAUACCUUUUAAAUCAUCAUAAGUCUAAGCAAAAGCGGAUUUAUGAUGCAAGAAAAAUUUGCUCCAGUAGGUCAACUCUUGUUUCUUAAUACCUUCGUAGACCUUAAUUGUCUGAGGUUUUGUUAUGGUCGCCAAGUUGAUAGUUUGACAUAAAAGUACAACGGCGAUGUUCUGUUUCAACUCCCAUGCUGGUUUAAAGUCAGUUGAUAAUUUUGACAUGUACGAAGUACUGAAUCCUGUGUCCAAGGCACUAACAUGGUAUACAUCAUACUUGGUCAUCCAAUUAGUACUAACAUAAUCCAAGUUUUUCGGGUCCGUCGAGUAUAUCAAGUACUCCCCCGGACCUCUACAUUAGUACACCACUCCAGGAUGUAGUACUGCCUCCAUGGGCACCUCCAUAAUUGGUGCUACUGCAUCGUCAUCAGAGCUAAGCUCAUCGUCUGACAUUACUUCAGAUACUAGCAAUUGAGACUCCCUGUGAUAGUGUACUAGGUAUAUUUGUAAUACCAUUUUAUCUCCACCCUUGCCAAUUCUCAAAUUACUCCGAUCCUAAUUGUUCUUGGCCUUUGCUUGAUAAAGCCAAGGUCCUCCUAAUAAAAUUGGAUAUGAUAAAGUAAAAUGUGAUAACCGAAAGAUGAUAUAGUCGAUUUCAUAUGCAAUACCAGCAAUCAUAGUUUGAACACUCCGUAAGAUAUCCAUUGGUUUAAUCCGGCUAUGAUUUAUCAUCCAUAUUACCAAUGUCGUGGCUACCAAGUGUUCCAAAUCUAAAGCAUUCAUUGUAUCAGCAUUCAUUAAAUUGACGCUGGAACUACCAUCCAUCUGAAUAUCCGAGAUCAUAACAUCAUCAAUUGAAACAUCGAUGGUUGGUGCACCUAGGUCAGGGUUCAAACUGACUUCACAAACUUCUUUACUAUGGUGUCUAUGCCAUAUUAACGAUGAAUUCAAUAUAGAAUGGUACUAUGGUGCGACCGAUAGAAGUUGUUUUAUAGAAAUAGAAGGCCAAAUAGCGUCCAGAACCUUCAAAAUAUCAUAGGAUUCCAUUUUUAGGAUAAUUUCCAAUGCCUUCUUUCUUUUCAUUGGUUUGAGUUUAACUCUGUGAGGUAGAUAUUCUUUCCCCCUAGACUCGGAAUUGGAACAACAGCCAGGACUUCAUAGGAAUUUCCGCCCCCGAGAAGAUCUUUCAAUGGAUAGGACGUUUCUCAGAACUGCGUAGAGAUCGAAACUGCUUGGAACAAAAUCGAAGCCUCCGUAAUUAGGACCUCAUUGGGUUGUGCCACCGAGUCAGGUCUCAUACUGGGUACGAAGUCCGUAAUAAGACCUGGAUUAAAUGGUCUCCUAAUUGGGUCAAAUUGGUCUUUCGAAUCGAGAUUAUCCAAAUGUUGAAUUUGUCCUUUUUUCUUUUGCUGACACCAGAUAAGAACGGUGUCGUAUUACGUGCUUUCCUGCUCGAGAACGUGCCGGGCGUCUGGCUGUAGAAGGUAGUAUGGAGAUUCGCCGAUAGUCAAGCAGUCUAUCAGUUUUUGACUGCUGGAAUAUAAAUGACUGCAACAAUGUACCGUUAAUCUAUACGGAUGCUCUUCGACUGCUUGUCGAAGUCCUUUUUGCCCCAGCCGGUAGGUCUCUAGACGUUACAGAGAACCCCGUACAACCCAAACUGUUAACCUUCAAUACUGCUUUGUACUUACGAUCUUGUAUCCAUUGACUGUCUUGUUAGAUUAACCCAAUAAAUUUCAUUCACUCUGCAUACUCAAUCCUACAGACACCGUUUUAAUCCUUCAAUCACAAACGUAACUCGAUUUCACAAAACAGUCAAGAGUAUUCAAACCCACUUCAUUUAAAAAUCCCGAUUCACCAUUACAACACUGACUUCAGCAGAGAUUGCCUCAGUCUUCCCAAAACUCUACGAAGAAGAAAAAUCCAAAUUCUAUGUCUUUCCUUCCCCGACCCGAAGCAUGAAGCUCCUCUCUCUAAUUCCCUUGAUCUUCAAAAAAAAAACCCUCAAUGAAAACCGAACUAGUAACCUUGCAAAAGCUUGAAAACUAGCUCCCCCCUCGAUUUUCUUCAAAAAAAAAUCCCCCUCAAAACUAUAUCCGACCUAACCUUAUCCUUUGAAUUUCUUCAAUCUUCCGUCUUAGAUCCGGAAUUGGCUCCCACCUCAAGCUUGGAUCCGAAAUUGGCUCUCGCCGUCAAACUUUCUCCUCCGUUUUUGCCUUUAAGAAAUCCAUUUACCGAAAACAACGUUCCCUGAGACGGCACAGAGAACAAGACAGCCUGAAACAGAAUCGAACCCCGUAAUCGGGACUACAUUGAGUUGCCCGACCAAUUCAGGUCCUAUAUUGAGAAAGAUGCCCGUAGUAACCUGGAUGUUCCCGUAAUUGGGUCAAAUUGGUCCUCGCGUCAGAUUGGCUAAGACCCGUAGUAAGACCUAGAUUUCCCGUAACUAGACUGCAUUGGGUUGCCCCACCAAUACAGGUCUCAUAUUGGGUAAGAGGACUCGGAUUGGAUUAUCGAAAUUGGAUCCAAUUGGCUCCUCGAACCCGUCGUGUGAAUUGGUCCUUCUCUUCUUGCUGACUCCCGUUAUUGGAAUCGAAUGGGGCAUUUCAGUUUGCCCCGGCUGACUGUAACGGAGUCACUGAACCUGACCACUCAGUAUUUGUACUGGAGUUGGUCGAUGCUCCCAAUAUUCGAGGUAACUGAAUAUUAAUAAAAUUCCCCUUUCUUUUUAUUUUCACUGUAUACUCGUGUUACAACAUGACAACGGCUUAGACACAUUCCACCCGAUUUACCAGAGAAUCUUGAGGACCUCGAUUGAUCUCUUCAAUUUUUCCUUGGCUUUGGAUCUGCUGAUCUCAAUUAUUGACAUUGAACGGAGCAUUACAUUGUUGAUACGUAUGCCUUGACUACUUGUAAUUCCUACAAACUGAUACAUAAUUGUCACUAGUUGUGGGAUAAGGAUAUUCAUUGGCAUAAUGACCAAUCUGUCUGCAAUGGAAACAAUGAAGUGGUCUUCUUGCACCUCCAUCAGGCAUAUUGGGUGCUUCCACUGGUAUAUACGUACUAGGCUUGUUCCAUGUAGGGUUAGAAAAUAAUCCCGGUUGUCCCGUUGGUACUGAGGGAACUUGGUUUGAUGACGUUGGUGGAGCAUAUUGCUAUUACCUCUGCUGCUCCUUACCGUAGUUCUAGAGAUUCGAUGCAGAUCCCUGAUUAAAAUUAGAACUUUGAAAGUUAUUGAAUGCUCGAUUUUAUCAAUUAAAUCAAUUUUCAUUCCAUCCAAACGUAUUUUUUGUUGGUACUUGAUUGACGUCCCACUGGGUUGGUGGAAUCAUAGUGUGAUUACUAAAUUAUUGUUGUUAUCUUUGCCCAUUUCAAUAAUUUGCUGUUAGGUGCUUUCAUCCGCAAAAUGUACAUUGACCCAUUAUUUGUGAAGGUGAGGGGCAUUCUGUUACAGAAUGACCGUGAUCCUUACAAUUACUGCACCAUACAUUGGUCAUAGUAUUAGUAGGCUUUUGCCUCUUUUCCUUAUCUUUGGCCAUAUUGAUGGCCAUUUCUUCCAUUUUCUUCGUCAAAUUUAAUAACAAGGUUUCAUUGGAAUCUUUUAGGACUAGCAUUAUUGAAAUCUCUAUCAUAGUCAAUGCUUGUCGUUGAUAUGGAAAAUAUAGAGCAUACGCCAUUGUCACGUUCGGUGGUAUAGCUUGUAAUGGGGUGACAUUAACUGGCCUCUGAAUAUUGGUAUUGGAAUUGGCUCUUGUUUCUAAAAUCCGUGGAUAACUAUCCACUGAUUCGUUCCAAGUCGGAUUUUGAUAUCUACCUUGAACUAGAAUCAUCAUGGCUCCCGCAAUUAAAAACUGAUCAUAAUGGCAUUUCUCUUAAACCUUGGUUCUAUUAAGGGACUCCAUCAUCGUAAAGGUUUGAGCUUCCUUUACAAACAGUUUUAGCUCUGGUGGGUGCAAACCAUUGAUUAAUAUGGAUAAGAUAAAUGCCUCCGAUAUUUGGUGAUUCGGCCACUUAUUGAGUAUAUCAGCCACUCGGCCAUACUACAAUUCCACUACCUCUCCUAGGAUCAUUUUGCUGUUCAUUAACCUCUCUCGAAGGCGGUCUUCAAAACCAAUUGGCCGAAAAUGAGAUAAAAAUGUAUUCUUCAAUGCUUCCCAAUUCAGAAAUUAACCCAUUGGUUGGCGGUUGUACCAUUCAAACAUCGUGUCUUUUAAGGUAGCUCGCAACCAUUGCAACCAAAUAUCUUCAGUUCUGCCAUUAUUAGCUACACAUGCUGUAAGAAACUGAGACAAAUAUUGAUUAGGAUCUGCACCCUGAAAUCCCCAAAAAGUAGGUAGUGGCACGACACUAGUCGUACGAUUGCCUACUACACCUAUUUGUACUGUAAUCAGAACGGCUGGUCCUCUUGACGCCAUUGAAUUUCUUGUUUCGCUAAAUUCUAUUUUAAAAUAAUCUCUGCUUUUCCUUAUUCUAAUUUUCGAGCUCUCAGUACUCCUUGAUUUAGUGUUAUUUUUUACAAAUACUUUUAUUGAUUGAAAAACAAGUAAAAACGUCAAAUUUUGAAAUACAAAAUAAUUAUCUUUAUUGGCGACUAAUUUGUGCCAAUGUGAAGAGCCACUAUUGCUCGUUUCAGCGAUACCCUUUACUGAAAAAAUACCCAAUGGAGUACCAAAUUCUUCUAAGCCUCUUUCUCUUUCAGUUAACGGCCUCAAGAUUUUCACUGGAAUGUUAAUAAAGUUUUGUGCAAGUGUUCUUGGCAGUUUUUCUAAUAAUACAUACUACUACAGAAUUAUGAGUUUGUCUGGUUCUUGAUAUGUUCGGAUGCACUGACAAGCUUGCAACUAUGGUUUAAUCCAAUUCUAUUGAUGCUUCCUUUUAAGAUUACAUUCUUGCUCCUCUCUAAGCAAAUUCCUUCCUUGCGCUCUUCUUUGUCUUUCUCUCAACUGAUUUAUUUUCCUCGAUGCAAUGCUCUCGUUCUUAUUAACCAUAAUCUUGCUUCAAACACUACUGAAAUCGUCUUCCAUUGCGAAUUUUCUCACAUGUUUGGUAAUUAAUUUCUAACACUCAAAGCUAUUAUCACUCCCCGAUAGUGGCGCCAAAAUGUGAUUGCUCAUUUUACUUAUUCCAAAUUAAUCUAAUGGGAAUAAAUCCAUAUAUGGAGAUUCGAACACGAAGAAUGACUAGUUGCUUAAGCGUUCACAUUAGGCUACUAUAUGAAAAUAAUGUAAUUAUGUACUUAAUAUAUAAUUUAUUAAGUAACAUGGUAAGAGCCAUGUUAGUAGAUUUUAGUUGGUUGUAGGAUAUAAUUUGAUUAUUACUUUGAAAAGAGGUUGUUUAAAAAGAUUACUAUAGAAUUUGUAUAACUUUAAUUUCUUUUUGAUAGUGGCUUUUAAGAUUGGUUUUGGUUGAUAGUAACUUCUAAAUAUUUAGAGUCACCUUUGUUAGACAUUGGUGAUAUUUAAAAACUUAUUUUGGUUCUUUUAUUUGGUGUUUAGACCAUACAUUAUGUAAAUCUUAUAAGAAAAAGGAUUGAAGAAGGAUUUUGGUAGCAAAGGGAGGAAUUAGGGCACCAAUAUAGAUGAAUGGAGAUGAAAAAUAAAAAUCUCCAUUCCUAUUGGUCAAAAAUCAUGACCAAUGGGCUUUGAGGAGGCUGCCCGAGGCCAUAUUAGGGAUUAUGGUUAGUUUCUUGAGGCCAUUCGAACUUUGAAGGCUAGGGUCUGAAGGUUUAGGUUUUUGGUUAAGGUUUUGGUGCGAGUUUUGUAUCAUUUGAGGUUUUUAUGAAGAAGUUAUAGGCGCUCAAAGUUAAGGUUUUAGUUUUGGACCUACUGUCACUCGUUUGGCCAUAACGCACGCGUACAGAUGGCAAUUGAGGAUCGGCAACCGCGACUGGAGAGAAAACUUUUGUGGCUAUACUUUUCACAUACUGCUUACUAGAUUCCAAGUUGGGAUGAAGGAGUUAUUGGAUUUUGAAGUCAGCACAUGCAAUCUAAGGGUAGUAAGUAAACCGAUUUACUAGUGUUUGUCUCUUGAGCUAUAUCUUGAGCAAUUUUGUGAGGUUUUGGCUCAAAAUUUCAAAGAAUGUGUAAUUUCAUGUUAGUAAUUUUUGUGCAUAAGUUUUAUGACAUUUGAAGUUCGGGUUUCUGAGAUAUAAGGAAAAUAGUUUUCGGGUGCUUGUAAAUUAGGGUUUGGAGUGUCUGCUAGGGUUUCUUAGAUGCCAGAAGAUCGGGAGUGAAUUUGCGGUUGAUUUUUUUGGUGGUACAAGUUAAGGGUAAAUUCUACCUAUCUUGUAAAUUUGAAACAAACUGAACAGUUCGAUCAUUAGUUAUGAUUUUCUAAAGUUUGGGGCAAGAAAAUCCUUCGCGGGAAAAAUAUGUUUUGAAGGGAUUUUGUUAUAUUUGGAGUUUUAUACAAAAAUAAAGGAGUUUUGGAAGCCAAGAAAAGAAUCAUAUAAAGGUUUAAGGUACACUCUCUACAGCUAGAUACCCAGUGUAUUCCCAGAUAGCAAAUCACGCCAUACGACACCGUCCUCUUAAAUUUCCUAUUAUAUGGACUAUUAAUAUAUUUUAUCAAUAUCUUUCAAAAACGAAUUAAUAUCUAUUCUACACUACUACUCUCGAAAGUACAAGAAUUACAAGAAAAUGGUACUUUAGCCAACUCAAAACAAUACCACAGAAUGACUUUAACUAGUGCCCUACUCCUAUUCUUAUACUACCUGGUGAUAAUGACAACAUGUUACCCAUACUGUCCGUGAAAGGUAAUGGGAAGUAAUCUUUUUUGGUAGCCACAUUAAGAUUCAGGAAAUCCUCACAAAUUCGGAUUUUUCUAUUCUUUUUUGGCACCAUCACAAUUAGAGAAACCCACUUACUAUUCGGUAUUGGGUAAAUAAAACCAACUGCAAGAAGCUUGUCCAAUUCCUCCUUCAUUAUGAAGAAAUAUUUAGGAUUAAGGCAAUGUUGCCUCUACCGUAUCGGUUUAGCAUUCUCCUCUAAAAUGUUACAAUGCUUACAGACUUCAGUGGUGAUACCUUUUAGAUUAACAUAAGUCCAAGCAAAAGUGGAUUUAUGAUGCAAGAAAAAUUCUAUCCAACAGAUUAAUUCCUGUUCUUUAAUACCUUCUUAGAUCUUAAUUGUUCAAGGCUCUGCUGUGGUUGCUAAGUUGAUAGUUUGACAUAAAAGUGCAGCAGCAUUUUUCAAUUUCAAUCUCCACACUGGUUUAAAAUUAAUCGGUAAGUCCGACAUGAGUGAAGUAUUGAAUCCUAUGUCCAUGGCACUCACAUGGUACACAUCAUACUUGGUCAUUCAAUCAAUACUAACUUUAGUAGAGAUUUUUAAAUCCGUUGGAUAUAUCAAGUAUUCCUCAGACCGCCACAUUGGUACACCACUCCAAGGUAUUGGUAUGCUUCCAUAGAUGCCUUCGUAAUUGAUGUUAUUAUAUCAUCAUUGGCGCUAAGCUCAUCAUCCGAUGUCAAUUCAGAUGCUAGCAAUUGAGAUUCCCUAUGAUAGUGUACUGGGUACAGUUGUAACACCAUUUUAUCUCUGCACUUGUCAAUUAUCAAAGUACCCCAAUUCCAAUCAUUCUUAACCUUCGCUUGAUAAAGCCAGGGUUGUCCAAAUAAAAUUGGAUAUGAUAAAGUCGAACGUUGUAACUGAAAGAUGAUGUAGUCAAUUUCAUAUGCAAUACUGACAAUUAUAGUUUGAACACUCUGUAAAAUAUCCAUUGAUUUAAUUCGGCUAUUAUCUGCCAUCAGUAACAUCAAUGUUGUGGAUACUAAAUGUUCCAAAUCUAAAGCAUCCAUUGUAUCAGCAUUCACUAAAUUGUUGCUAAAACCACCAUCCAUCCGAAUACCCAAGAUCAUAACACCAUCAAUUGAAACAUCGAUGGUUGAUGCACUUGGGUCAGUGUUCAAAUUGACUUCACAAACUUCCUUAUUGCAUUGCUUAUACCGUGUUAACGAUGAAUUCAAUGUAGAACGGCACUUUAAUGCGACCUUUAGAAGUUUCUUCAUAAAAAAAGAAGGCUGAAUAUUAUCCAAAUCCUUUAAAAUAUCAUAGGAUUCCAUAUGUAAGGUAGUACCCAAUGCCUUCUUCUUUUUCAUUGGUUUGAAUUUAACUCUGUGAAGUAAGAUAUUUUUCCGCCCUAGAUUCAAAAUCAGAACAGUAGAUGGAGCUUUCUUAGAAUUCACGCCCCUGAGAGGAUCUUUCAAUGAAUAGGACGUUUUUUAAAAUUGCAUAGAAAACAGAAUAGCUUAACAUAGAAUCGAAGCCUCCGUAAUUUGUAGUCCAGUUAGGUGCACAACCGAUUCAGGUCUUAUACUAAGUAAGUGGUCCAUGUCAAGACUUGGAUUUGAUGGCCCCAUAAUUGGGUUCAAUUAGCCCUUUGCUUCAAGAUCACCCAAAUAUUUAAUUGGUCCUUUUUUCUUUUGCUGACUUAUUGUAUGGACAGCUUGAACUACUUCUACCCAAUGAACUGGUGAUUCUUUUGUCUCAUUAUUUUUUUCUUCUACAAUUUACACAGUCAAUUGUAUCUUUUGAUCAUGAUUAUUAGGAUUAAAUGGAACAUUGCAUUGAUAAUGAAAAUGACCCAAUUGCUUGUAAUUUCUAUAUACUGGAGCAUAUUCAUUUAUAAACCUUAGAUUAGAGCAUUCAUUGGCAUAAUGACCAAUUUACUAGAACUAGUAGCAACGUAGUGGUUUUUGGCCUAUACCAUCAAGUACAGUUAGAGUCUCCACUAUAAUAUAUCUACUAGGAUGAUUCCAAAUAGCCAUAGUAAAUGAUCAUGGCUGACCAGUUGCUACUGGACGAGAAUUGGACUCAUGAAUUGGUAUAGUUUGGGGAUUACUCCCUUGAUUAUUUCCACUGUUCUGCAUAUUUGUUCCAUAAACCAGAUUAUAAUUAGUAUUUUAAAAAUUUUGAAAGCCACAAUUAGGUCAAUUUGGGUGAUUACUAUUCCAACUACCCAUAUUUCUAGUCUAUACUUAAUUAACAUCCAAUUGAGUUGGCUGUAUUAAUGUCUGGUUAUUGAACUACUGUUGCCUUUGUAAAUGCUAGCAAUUUUGGAUAGGAUGAUUUCCUCUACAAAAUGUACAUUGAACAUCCAUUUGUUUGGGUGAUAGACAUUCCGUAUCAAAAUGACCUUGUCUCUUAUAAUUAUUACACCAUACAUUAGGUCUUAUAUUAAUAAGCUUAUGUCAUUUCUCCUUAUCUUUAGCCAAAUUCACAGCCAAUUCUUCCAACUUCUUUGUUAGAUUUAAUAACAAAGCUUCAUUUGGAUCUUUUACAAUUGUAUUUAAGAACAACUCUGGUUGUUGAUAGGUUGGCAAUGUAAAAUAAGGUGUCAUUGUUAUUGGCACUAUUGCUUAGAGUGGGGUAGCAUUAAUUGGUUUUUGCAACAUAACAUUCUUCAUAUUGGAGGCAACCAUUUGUGGAUAAUUAGCCAUCGACACAUUUUUCGGUUGUAUUUGUUGGCCUUCUGAAGUUAAAAUCAUCGUGGCUCCCACUGUUAAUAAUUGGUCAUAAUGACAUUCUUUCUAUAUCUUUGCUCGUGCCAACGAUGCCUCUAUCGUAGCUGGUCGAGCUUCUUUUAUAAAUAUUUUUAAUUUUGAUGGAUGCAAAUCAUUGAUUAAUAUUGACAAUAUAAACGCAUCUGGCAUUUGAUUAUUUGGCUAUUUACGAGUAUAUCCGCUACCCGGCUAUAAUAGAACUCUACUGAUUCUCCCACAAAUAUCUUGCUAUUCCUUAAACUUUCUCUAAGUCAAUCUUCAAAUCCAAUUGGUCUAAAAUGGAUUAGGAAGGCAUUCCUCAAGGCCUCCCAAUUGGAAAAUCUACCCACUGAUUGCCGAAUAUAUCAUUCAAAAGCUGUAUCUUUUAAAUUUGUUGGCAACCAUCUCAACCAAAUGUCUUCAAUUCUACCAUUAUUAGCUAUAUAGGCUGUCAAAAAUUGAGAUAUAUGGUGAUCAAGAUUAGAGCCCGGUAAACCACUAAAAGUAGGUAAUGAUGCCACACUUGUAAUGCAGUCUCCUACUACUCUGAUUUGUAUUGCAAUUGGUACUUCUAGCACUCCCGAGGCUAUUGGUGUUAUCAUUGGUCUCCUUGCUAUUUGAAUUUGAAUUUUUCUUCCUUUGGUUUUACUUUGACCUACAAUUCCUUUUUUUUUAUUUUUGUAGGAGAUUUCUUAUGAAUAAUUGCUCUUAUCUUUCUUUUGCUUGUCAAUGAACUCUUUGAUAAUCGUCCCCUUCAUGAUUAUCACUCAUAAUCUUUCAUUCUUCUUUACAAAAUGAAUACUGUCUUGAGUUAUAACUCACAUAUUUGUAACCCUAAAAUUGGUUCUUUUCACGUUCUUAUUUAAUAUAUAAUUCCAUCUUCCAUACAAUCAAUUUCUAAUAUUUCAUAUUCUUAUCAUUUCUCCGGCAGCGGUGCCAAAAUAUUGUCAUCAUUGUGUUCAAGCUUCAAUAUAACAAAGCAAUUGAAUUAAUAGAAGUGGAUUUGAAUACAGGGAAAGACUGAUUAUAAGAAUUGGGACUGUUAGUAUCACAAUUGACUAUACACUUGUCAUGGACAUACUCACGUAAGCCAAUAAUUACAUAUAUAAAUAGAUAGAAGUUAAUAAAAGUAAGUAAAAGUAAGUUAAUUUUAUAGUAUUUGAUAUGGAAGCUUUUUAGAAGCUUUAUAGAGGUUGCUUUGACUUUAUACUUAUCUUUAAUUGACUUUUUAGAGUAGAAAUGGGAUCAACAAGUUAGCCAUGUGCCACACAUGUUGUUAGCUUGAAGACCAAGCUAAUUAUGUGGCCUACACGUAGAAAAACUUGCCUUGUAAGUCAAGGCAUGUGUCGUUUAAAGUCAACACAUAUUGAAGGUCCUAUAGAACAUCGCUACAUUAUCGUGUUGUAGUUUGGCUACUAUAUGAAAAUAAUGUAAUUAUGUACUUAAUAUAUUAUUCAUUAAGUAACAUGGUGAGAGCCAUAUUAGUACAUUUUAGUUGGUUGUAGAAUAUAAUUUGAUUAUUAUCUUGAGAAAAGGUUGUUUAAAAAGAUUACUAUAGAAUUUGUAUAAUUUUAAUUUUCUUUUGAUGGUGGCUUUUAAGAUUGGUUUUGCUUGAUAAUAACUUCUAAAUAUUUAGAAUCACCUUUAUUAGACAUUGGUGACCUUUAAAAAUUUCUUUUAGUUCUUUUAUUUGAUGUUUAGAGCAUAAAUUAUAUAAAUCUUAUAAGAAAAAAGAUUGAAGAAGGAUUUUGGUAGCAAAGAGAGUAAUUAGGGCACCAAUAUAGAUGAAUGGAGAUGAAUAAUAAAAAUCUCUAUUCCUAUUGGUCAAAAAUCAUGACCAAUAGGCUUUGAGGAGAAUUCCCAAGGCCAUAUUACGGAUUAGGAUUAGUUUCUCAAAGCCAUUUGAGUUUUAAAAGCUAAGGUCAGAAGGUUUAGGUUUUUGGCUAUGAUUUUGGUACAAGUUUUGUAUGGUUUGGAGUUUAUAUGAAGGAGACACAAGCUCUCAAAGUUAAGGUAUUGAUUUGGGAGCUACUGUCAUUUUUUUUUUGGCAUAACGCACUUGUACAGACAACAAUCGAAGAUCGGCAAUUGCGACUUGAGAGAGCACUUUUGCAGCUAUACUUUUUAUAUAUUGCUCAUUGGAUUCCAAGUUGAAGUGAAGGAGUUAUUGGAUUUUGAAGUGAGUGCAUGCAAUCUAAGGGUAGUAAGUAACUUGAUUUGCUAGUAGUUGUCUCUUGAGCUAUAUCUUGAGCAAUUUGAUAAGAUUUUGGCUCAAAAUUUCAGUGAUUAUGUAAUAUUAUGUUAGUAAACUUUAAACAUAAGUUUUAUGACAUUUAAGUAUUUGAUUCUUAAGAUAUUAAUAAAAUAGUACUCAGGUACUUGUAAAUUAGGGUUUAGAGCAUCUGUUAGGAUUUCAUAGAUGUCAAAAGAUUGAGAGUGAAUUUGUAGUUGGCUAUUUUUUGUGAUAAAAGUUAAAGGUGAAUUCUACCUAUUCUAUAAAUUUGAGACAAACUGAACAGUUACGUCAAGAGUUAUGAUUUUCUAAAAUUCAAGACAAGAAAAUCCUUUGUGGGAAAAACAUGUUUUGAAGGGGUUUUGUUAUAUUUUGAUUUUUAUGCAUAAGAAAAGAGUUUUGGGAGGCUAACAUAAGAUUUAUAUGAAGAUUUAAGCUACACUCUCUACAGCUAGAUAUCCAGUGUAUUCCCAGAUAGCAAAUCACAUUAUACGACAGACUUGGUGAACUCGACGUAAAAAUCUCUGGGUAGAGAGUUUUGAAGAAAUAUUUUGUCUUUUAUUAUGGAAAAAGGGCAAGAAAGUGGUAGGAAGAUUUAUACUGGAGAAUCUCCAUUGCAACCUUAUUCUGCUAGAACUCAAAUAUUUCAAGCAUUUGUACUUUUUAUGCAACAAUACCAAGCAGUGGAACGCAUGGAGAUAAUGGCUACUAAAGCCUUACAAUCUGUUAAUGGUUUAUUGGACCAAUUUGAUAGAAGAAAUAUUUCAAAGUAUCUUAAGUAUUAUUCUCAGGAAGUGAAACUCAAUAAAGUAUCCGAAAAAGAUAUGAUCCUAAUAUUUGAGCUUGCAGUUGUACUAAAGCUUCGUGAGCAUAUAAAGGAGAUUAUUAAAACUCAUAGAGAGAAAUGGAAGGAUUUUAUCCUUCAGCUAAAAGAAGAGUAUUCUUUGGAAGAUGCAGAAAGGGUGACAAGAAAAUUGUUUAUGAAAUAGGUCAAUAAAUCCAUCAAAGGAUUCAUUACAACAGAGUUAUUCUAAAAAUUUAAAAGAUAGUUUCUUCAAUUGUCUUGAGUGGAAAAGCUUACACUUAAAAAUGAUAAGGUGGAGUUAUUUUUUUAAUCAGCUAGUAAUGAUUUACAAUGAGAGUAGGAAUUAUUAUUGGAGGAUAAUACAGAGGACAAUGGACUUACUAUUGAUUGGAAGAAAGUCUCUGAAGCUGUUGGCAUAUUUGCUAAAAGAGAGUACCUGUGGAAAAAAGUGGUAGUAAGACAAGAAAUGAGAUCUCUAUCAAUUAUAAUAUCUCGUAGGUAAAUGCCAGAACCUGCUAUAUCAAUAAGUGCUAUUCCAAUUCCUAUGUCUAUACUUGCACCACAGAAAGAUGCAAUUGAUGAAUUGGUAAAAAAAAAUAAAAGACUUACAAAUCAAACUGGCAAAGCUAGAGGAGAAAGAAUGAUUACUUGAGAUAUAUACAAAGAUGUAUUUGGUAUAUACAAAGAUGUAUUUGGUAUAUACAAAGAUGUAUAUAAAGAUAUAUACAAAGAUAUAUACAAAGAUAUAUACAAAGAUAUAUUUGGUGUAAUAAUAUUGUGAAUCCUUACAAGGAAUGUAGAGAUUUUAGUAAUAUUCUGUGACAAGGAGUAAUUUUAUGGAAAGAUGGAAAAAUUACGUUACAAAAUAUAGGUGAGUUACUCAAAACCAAUUUUGGUAAAAGAAAUGAAAGACUUAUAAAUCAAAUUGGCAAAGCUAGAGGAGAAAGAAAGAUUACUUGAGAGCAAAUCUAUAUCAAAGUUAGGAUAUAUAUAAAGAUGUAUUUGGUGUGAUAGUAUGGAGCAUCCUCAAAGGGAUUGUGGAGAUUUUGCUAAUAUUCUGCGACAAGGAAUAAUUUUAUGGAAAGAUGGAAAAAUUGCAUUACAAAAUAUAGGUGAGUUUCUCAAAACCAAUUUUGGUAAAAGAAAUGAAAGACUUAUAAAUCAAAUUGGCAAAGCUAGAGGAGAAAGAAAGAUUACCUGAGAGCAAAUCUAUAUCAAAGCUAGGAUAUAUAUAAAUAUAUAUUUGGUGCAAUAGUAUGGAGCAUCCUCGAAGGGAGUGUGGAGAUUUUGUAGAUAUUUUGCGACAUGGAGUAAUUUUAUGGAAAGAUGGAAAAAUUACAUUACAAAAUAUAGGUGAGUUUCUCAAAACUAAUUUUGGUAAAAGAAAUGAAAGACUUACAAAUCAAAUUGGCAAAGCUAGAUGAGAAAGAAAGAUUACCUGAGAGCAAAUCUAUAUCAAAGCCAGGAUAUAUAUAAAGAUGUAUUUGAUGCGAUAGUAUGGAACAUCCUUGAAGGGAGUGUAGAGAUUUUGCUGAUAUUCUGCGACAAGGAGUAAUUUUAUGGAAAGUUGAAAAAAUUGCAUUACAAAAUAUAGGUGAGUUUCUCAAAACCAAUUUUGGUAAAAGAAAUGAAAGACUUACAAAUCAAAUUAGCAAAGCUAGAUGAGAAAGAAAGAUUACCUGAGAGCAAAUCUAUAUCAAAGCCAGGAUAUAUAUAAAGAUGUAUUUGGUGCGAUAGUAUAGAGCAUCCUCAAAAGGAGUGUGGAGAUUUUGUUGAUAUUUUGCGACAUGGAGAAAUUUUAUGGAAAGAUGGAAAAAUUGCAUUGCGAGAUAUAGGUGAGUUUUUCAAAACCAAUUUUGAAAAAGGAAGGAUGAAAAAGGUUUUGAAGAGCAUUUAUCUCAACAGGCUAUGACAUCAAGAAAAGCUAAUACUUAUGGUAUUGAGAUUGUAAGAGAGAAGGAAGAUGUUUUUGAUAAGCAUAUAAAAAUAGGAGAUCUAUAAAAUCAUGCUAUUAUCAACAUGAAUAAAAUAAAAACAACAAGGCAUGAAUUAUUUAAUAUAGCCACAAUAAUUAAAAAUACUACAGGAUUGGAUGACCUUAUAGAUACUAUAUCUGUACAUGCUUCUUUGGCAAAGUUCCAACAUGAAGCUUUAAUGGAAGUAAUAAGGGGAAGAAAUAAAAUAGAAGAAAAUUUUGAAGAGCCAAUCAAUAAGAGGAGAUCUCAAAGGCAUGCACAAACAAUACAAAAUAAAGAAAUACCUAUACUACAUGCUAAUAGACCAUCUAGGGCUAGGCCAUCAAUAUUGCACCCUGAAAAAGUACCACUGCCAAAAGAAAAAUAGGAAGAAAGAAUGGAAGUUGAUAAAGACAAAGAGAAGAGUAAACAUGUUAUUUAUAAGCUUCAAUCAGAUAUAUGGGGCAACCACAGAUUUGAAAGGAGUAUUGGAAGAAAGAAUAUUGAAUGUCAAAAUUGAAUUGAGUCUAUGAGAAUUUUUAGGCAUUACAAAGAGAGAGUUUUAUGAAGUCAUCAUAGACAUUAUUAAGCAAAAGAGGCAGUUGACAGGAGAACCUGCUGUAUCUAAUGCUUUGGAUACAAUCUUGAUUGAUGAAGAAGAACAUGAAUUGGUAGAAUGUUGUAUAAAUAAAAAGAGACAAUUUGAUUUGGAUGAAUAUAAGGAUGAUGACAAGGGCCCUAGAUACUAUACCAAGGGACAUUGGGCAAGAGCCACCACAGAGACUUUAAUAAAAAUAGAAGACUUGGUAGAACCACUAAUUGGUCUCAUUGACCAUGGAUCUAAAAUUAAUAUUAUGUCAAAAGAAGUCUAUAAAUAAGGAAGGUGGCCCAUUGAUAUUAACCAUCGAUGGAUGAUUCGGAUAGCAAAUAAUACACGAGGAAAUCUUUAUGGUGCUUGCCCCAAUGUGAGGGUAAAGAUUGGAGAUGUGACCUUAAAACAAAUUUUUUUUGUUCAAGACACUACAUACCCAGUGAUUCUUGGUCAACCAUAUAUUAUAGUUGUGAGAAUGGAGACCAAAAUUUUGGAUGAUGGAUCAGCAUGUGUCUGUAUUAGAAGUCAAGAUAAAAAAAGGGCAGUAUAAUUUCUAAUAGUACAUGCAAACCAUGAGCACAAACGAGAUUAUUUAUGAAGUGAUUUAUUACCAAGGAUUAGUGAAGAGUUUACGGAUUUUUGCAAGAUACCACUAUAGAGCGAGAAUGUAGUGGUACAUCAAAAAAGGUACUCUUGCAUGAAAAAGAAAGUACCUUUUGUAUAGGUGUUGUAGAAUUAUCUAAGAAUGGAUUUGUUAUCUAUACACAACUUAAUGAUCUACCAAAGUGAGAGAAAAAAGUUAUACAAAAAUCUAAAAAAGACCUAAAAAGAGUGGGUGUACUUGAUGGAGAUGAUAAGAUAGUAGGUCUAUAUAUGGAGACUAGUUUAGAAGAUUUUAUGGAAGAACUUUUAGAGGUUGAACAAGGAAAUAAAGAUUAAGUGGUGCAAGUACAUUCAAGAGAGCUCUACUCACAUAUAUAAGCAUUUCAAGAUUAUGAAGUCAAAGUUGAAACUAGGUACAAGACUGUGGAGAGGAAAAUAAAACCUAUAGCUAUACCAUUACUUAGUGAUUUCAAUCAUCAAGUUCAACAAGCUUUGAAGGAGAAGGGCUUAUGGGAUUCUAAAUAAAUUGGCCAUAAGUUUAUCAAGAAUACACUUAAUAAGUUGAAAAUAGGAUCUGCAAAUUUUCUAUUACAUAUUGAAGAAAUGAAAUUUAGAAAUAUGUUAAGUAUGCAUGGAAAGGCUUUUGCUUUUGAACCUUCAAAAAUUGGAUGUGUCGAUCCAAGUAUUGUCGCACCAAUGAUUAUAUUUACAAUUUUGCAUGUUUCUUGGGAUUUAAGACUAAUUUUGCUACCUAAAGCACAUCUACCUAAACUUAUAGAGCUUUUAAAAGAAAAGAUGCAAAUGAAGAUCCUAGAGCCAUCAUUUGCACCAUAUUCCAGUCAUUGGUUUACAGUAGCAAAGAAAAAUGGAACACUACGAUUCAUUCAAGAUAUUCAACCAAGGAAUCAAGUAACUAUUAGAAAUAAUGGAGUUGGACUAAUUGUUGGAGAAUUUGCUGAGGCAUUUGUUGGUAGAGCUCUUUAUUCUAUUAGAGAUCUUUAUUCUUGAUAUGAUCAAUUUCAACUAGUUGAAAGAAACAAAGAUAUUACUACUAUGAAGAUACCUUUAGGAUUAGUUAAGAUGUGUACAUUGCCACAAAGAGAAAAAACUGAGUAGCUCACAUGAUGAAUGGAAUGAAUAAGGUUCUUUGUGAUUUCAUUCCAGAAAAGACUAUGCUCUUCUUGGAUGAUAUUCCAAUAAAAAGAUGUGUGGAAGAAGAAAAAAAUGAAAUAAUGGAUCAAAAAGGGUGCCGUAAAUUUGUAUCUAAUCAUAUUUGAGAAUGUAAUAAAAUUUUAUCUCGACUUGAGGAGAUUUAUUUGACACUAUCAGGAGCUAAAUCAACCUUUGGAAUUCAAGAAGUUUUUAUUAUGGGGCAUUUGUGUGGAUGAUUUGGUCGCAAACCUGAUCCUAAUAAGAUGGAUGCCAUACAACGAAUGAAGGAUAUUUGUAGCUCACAAACACAGGUAUAGAGGAUUUUAGGAGCUUGUAUAUUUUAUUGUAUAUAGAUUCCUCAUUAUGUACAUGUAGCUGAUCCUCUUUAUAGUUUGCUAUGAAAAGAGAAGAGAUUUAAAUAGAUUUCAUAUAUUUAAUCUUUGAAUCCUGAAUUUAGGCAUAUAAUAAGCAAGGAUAAUCUUGUAUCAGAUAUGCUAUCCUGAGCUAGAUAUGAACAAGAAGAAGAUUUGAUUAAAGAUACUGAAGAUAUAAGUACUACUUUUUAUUCUAGGGUACAAUAAAGAGAGGAUGAAUAUCUAAGACCAUUUAUAGAAGAAUUAUAUGAAGAAGAAUGGAUUGAAAUUGGGUGCUAUUUAAGUACAUUAUCAAGGCAAUCAGAAUGGAGUGAUAUUCAUUUCAAACAGAUUAGAUGAAAGGCUUUUAACUACUUUUUACAAGGUGGUUACCUAUAGAAGUGAUACAAACUGGAUAGUAGAAUACCACAAAGAAUAGUUUGUAAGAAAGAGAUGUAAGAACAGUUAAUCUAUAAAUUCCAUGAUAGUUUGUCGACUAGACAUAGAGGUAUUUAUGCCACCUUUAAUAAGCUAAAAAAAAAAUAUUGGUAGUGUAACAUAUAUAGAGAUGAGGUGAAGUUUGUAGAAUCAUGCCAAACUUAUCAGAUAUACUCGGAGAUUGGACAAAGAGAUGGAUUGCAUCCUACAUAUCUACUUGUAAUAUAUUAUAAAUGGGUUGUAGACCUAGUUACUAUGCCUAUGGAGAUAUAGCAAAUGCGGUACUUGGCUCUAGCACAAAAAGAUUUAUUUAAGUAAGUAGAAGGAAGAGCUCUACGAACAAAAUCCACUGAAGGAAUUUGUAGGUUUUUACUAGAAGAUGUGAUUUGUAGAUAUGGAUGUAUUGGAAAAAUUACUACUGAUCGUGGGGAAUUAGAUGCAUAUGAAGCUAGAUAGUUCUUUGAAAGAUGUGGAGUUAAGCUACUACUUACUACAUCUUAUAAUCCGAAAGGCAAUGCUAAGAGUGAGCGAGGUCAUCUUCCUAUUGUAAAGGCCAUUGUUAAAGCUUGCAAAGGAAGAACAAGAGAAUGGCCAAGAUUAUUACCAUUUUUUCUUUGGAUUGAUCGAACUACUCACAAUUCAGUGACAGGAUAUAUGCCGACAGAGCUAAUGCAAGGACAGAAGCCUAUUAUGCCCAUUGAAGAGCAAAUACCUACUUGGAGUAUCUUGCCUUAGCAAGAUAAUAUAUCUAAAGAAGAAUUUCUUGUAUUUCAAUUUUUUCAACUAAAAAGAAGGCCUAAAGAUGUAAAAAAAGUAAUUAUAAGGCUGAGGGAGUCACGCUUGAAGAAUAAAGAUAGAUUUAAUAAACGACACAGAUUUAGGCCAAAAGAUAUUCAAAAAGGUGAUUGGAUUUUAGUAUAUGACAACAACUUGGAUAAUCAACAUAGUACUCUCAAAGAAUUUUCCAAAUGUUGGUUUGGACCUUAUGUGGUUGUACAUGUUUUGGAUAAUGCUACAUAUGUGUUAAGGGAAUUAGAUAGAACAAGAGUCAAAAUUCCAACUAUAGGAAAACGUAUAAAGAUUUUCAAACAACGAGAUCAAGAACUAGUUCUCGAAGAUGUUGAAGAAGAAUUUGAUCUAUCUGGGUAUGAAGAAGAAGAAUUAGAUAUUAUUGAAGAAGUAAUAUGAUGUUGAUCACAACUUUAGUUCUUCUUGGUACAUACCAAAGGAUGCACAAGUUUAGAGAGGGUGCAUGUCGUGUUGUUGUUCGACUAUUAUAUGAAAAUAAUAUAAUUAUAUACUUAAUAUAUAAUUUAUUUAAAUAACAUGGUGAGGGCCAUAUUAGUAGAUUUUAGUUGGUUGUAGAAUAUAAUUUGAUUAUUACCUUGAAAAGUGGUUGUUUAAAAAGAUUACUAUAGAAUUUGUAUAACUUUAAUUUUCUUUUGAUAGCAGCUUUUAAGAUUGGUUUUAGUUGAUAGUAACUUCUAAAUAUUUAGAAUCACCUUUGUUAGACAUUGGUGACCUUAGAAAAUUUCUUUUGAUUCUUUUAUUUGAUAUUUAGAGCAUAAAUUAUAUAAAUCUUAUAAGAAAAAGGAUUGAAGAAGGAUUUUGGUAGCAAAAGGAGUAAUUAGGGCACCAAUAUAGAUGAAUAGAGAUGAAUAAUGAAAAUCUCUAUUCCUAUUGGUCAAAAAUCAUGACCAAUGGACUUUGAAGAGGCUACUUGAGGUGAUAUUAGAGAUUAGGAUUAGUUUCUCGAGGCCAUUUGAGUUUUGAAAGCUAGGGUCAGAAGGUUUAGGUUUUUGGCUAUGAUUUUGGUGCAAGUUUUGUAUGGUUUAUAGUCUCACUUAUUAUUUGUUUUUGUCAUGUUCUUGUCCUUGACAACUCUGGCUAUUUGAAAUCAAUUAUCAAACUACAAAACACUAAGGUUUACUACUUCCAUCUUAAUUCAAGCCAUAAUCCAUUCUACCACUAUCAAUUCAACAAUACUUCAAUAUUCUUAUCCGUUCAUCUCCCACUUACUCUCUUUGUGGUUUAUAUAUAUAUUCAAUUACUGAUCUCUAACUUACCUAUUGUAUUCAGUUUCUCAAUUCAUCACACAGAAUUUAAUAUCUCGACUUGUGACACUCACAGUCUAGCACUCCAAACUAACUUCUCAGUAUUUAGAAACUAUCCAUUUCUUAUCAACAACAAAGAAAUAAAAAGAGGUAGCACCAAGCUUGCCCUGGCUUACAACUGUCACAGUCUGGCCCCGUUCUUUCUUUCUUCAAUCUCUUUAUCCUACCAAAAAGAUGAUCUGUCAGCCAAGAAAUUCCAAAAGUUAUGAUCCUUUGAAUUCUUAAUCAUUUAUUCCACUACUAACCUACUGUUACCAACUAAACUGCUUAAACAUCAGUGUAAUUCUCAAGGUUAUUAAUAACCAACCAGUAACUUACCACAAAGUUUAUUUGCCUAUUAUACAGCCCUCUACUAAAUAAAUUACAAAGAGGGGGAGUGAUUAAACCUUGAAGGCAAGCUCUACUCUUUAUACAAAGGACAACCACCUAAAGAGAACAACAAAACAAUGAUAAUACUAAUAUUUAACUACUCACAUUAUACUCGGGGUCAGAAAUAACACUAUUGCAAAGAAAUUAAUUAAUGAAUAAAUAAAAAAUAUAUUAACUUACUUCAAUAUCUAAAAUUAUCAUGUAUGAAAAAAAAUUUAAAAAUAAAAUAAAAAUAAAUAAAAAAUUAAAUAAUUAAAAUAUAAAAAAUAAAAAAUGAUAAUAUUAGUAAAUAAAAGUAAAAGUAAGAAUUAAUCAAAGAAAGCAAACAUAAAAGAUAAGUAAAAGUCAAAGUAAAAUAAAAUAGAAGUAAAAAAAAUAUAUAUAUAUUUUAAAUAAAUUAAAAGUAAAAAAUAAAAAUAAAAUUAAGAGUAAAAAAAUAAUAAUAUUAACUAAAAAUAAAUGUAAAAUUAAAAGUUAAAAGUAAAAUUAAAUAUUAAUAGAGUUUUUUUGUAUUAUUAAAAUAAUUAAUUUAUUUUAAUAUUAUUAUUUUUACUUUUUAUUUUAAUUGAUUUUCAUAUUUUUUAUUUUUAUUUUAAUUGGUUUUAAUAUUUUUUAUUUUUAUUUUUAUUUAUUGUAAUUCUAAUUUUUAUUAUUUAUUUUUUUUGUAUUUUCAAAUGAAGUUUAAAUUUUUUGUUAUAAUUUAAUAUAAUUAAGACGAAAAUUUUUAAAUACAAAGCUUUUAAGUAUAAUAUAAAAUCAAUAAUGUAAAUGAGUGAAAAGAUAGAUAUCACUAACCUCAAUUGUAUUCUGCUUAAGGUAGCUACCCCUCUCAACUCCAAAAAUCGCCACAAUUGUAAUUUUGAUUCAAUAGCACCAAAAUUUGCACCACUAAAAUUUCAACUCAAAGUUUCUUGUACUCAGAAUUUUCCAAUAUUGAAUUGUCACCAGGCACUAAGAGAUGCCUUUCUGAACAUGAGGUAUAUGAAACUGCCAAGGCAGUGAAUCUCAUUCUAGUCUAAAAAUAACUUUAAAUUCGUGUCAUUUCGAAUUUGAACAUGCAAUAGCUUUUUGAAAAGCUAACAUCAAGAUGCACAACCUGAAAAAGUUUCACUAUCAAUUAUGCAAUACAUAAAAACUGAUUAAUGAAAACCUGAGAGCAACUUGGAGUACACAAAACUGCCAAGGCAGUGAACCCCCUUUUAAACAAAAAUCCACUAAAAAUUCAAUUUUAGUCCAAUUUAAACUUGUGAUAGCUUUUUAGAAAGCUUACAUCAAUAUACAUAACCUCAAAAAGUUUGAAGUUGAAACACACAACAUUUAAAACUGAUUGACUAAAACCCGAGAGUAAUCAACAAUCAACUCAACAAUAAAAAUUUUACUAUCUUAUAAAGUAAGAAAUAGAAUUGCUUUGUUUCCACUAAUAAGGAAGAGAUGUAAAAAAAUUACCAAUGAUGAAGAGCUACUUGAAUUUCUCACUCAACAAAAACAAGCACAAUCAAUUUCAACAAGCAACUUCACAUCCACACACACCCAUUUGAAGCACCAUCUCUCAGCAAAUGCACCAAAAUAUGAGUGUAAAUUUCACUCCUCAACUUAAGUUACAAGAUGGCCUCAAUUAAGAGUUGCUAGUAAUUGGUGGUGUCAAGUGAAGUAAGCAAAUAACAAGAAUAAAAGAAGAACUACCACAAAACAAUUGAAAUAAAUGAUAUGAAGCAAUUUACAACACUUAAAACUAAGUCAUAGUCUGUCCACUAUGUUUUCACCCAAAAAAAAGUAAAAGUGAAAAAUAAAAAGUAUAUUUUUAGAUGUUUAAUUUUAUUAUCUUUCCAAUGUCAUAAGAAACAUGUAAAUCCAAAUUACUAUGAAUAAGUUAUGAAGUUUUAAAGAUAUGAAGUAAAUAAUUGAAAAGUGAAGUGAAAAUAUUUUACCUCAAAGGUAACUUGCUUAUAGAUCAAGGAUUCGAACUUCACCAAGGCUCACAUGAAGUGUAUAUGGGUGUCUUAAAGAGGCCAGAAAGCCUUAGUCUUAUCCUCCUAACUACCUUCAAGGUGCUACAACCCAUAUGGGACUUAUGUACUCUCCUUCCUACAAGGAUUACACUAGCUGUUGGUCCUCCUAUUUUCUACUAGAAGGACCAAUAUUUUUGUAAUUUUGACCUCACCAUGGUGUUUAAAAACAUCCAAUUAGCCUAGGAAUCUUUUUUGGCCUUUGAAUCUUGCUCCAUUUCUUCAUAAAGGCUCCCAAAGUGGUUAAAUUUAUUUUUACCAAGAUCUUAAAAAUUGCUCUAAAAAUUCCUAAAAAAUUCCAAAAUAAAUUCUAAAUAAAUUCCGAAAAAUUGUAUAAUAUUUCUAUAAUGCUAAAAUCUAAGGCUACAUUUUCUUACCUUGGUGAUUUUUGAUAAUAAUAAAAAUCAAUUUAAAUCCACUAUAAAUCCUAUUUUUUAUACUAAUAACUAAAAUGACAUGAGGUUCUUUCUCAUGCUUCUUCUAACUACUAACAUUUAUAGUUUUUAUAAGUAGUACAUAUAGAUAGAAAACCAAUAUAAAUAUUGGUCUUAAUAAAUAAUUCUUACUAUUCAAAAAUGAAUGAAAAUAUUAAAUCAACGAAGAUAAUUGCCUCCAAGUCUUAUUAAGACUCCAUUUCCACCACUAACAUUCUAAUUUUCUAUUUCUCUAAGGAUUUCUACACUACUUACUAUAUCUUAUAAUUUAAAGCAUUCUAAAUGUAUAUUUUUAUUCUAAAAUAAUAAAUGAGUCAGUUUGAUGACUUAUAUUUGUACAUGGUACAAAAUGCACCAUCUUGGUGAAAUGAUCUACAAUCACGAAUAUAGAAUCGUAUGAACUUGAAAUUGGAAGAUCUGUGAUAAAAUCCAUAGAGGUAGAAGACCAUAGUUGUUUGGAUAUGGAUAAUGGUUGGAGGAGUCUAUAAGGUCAAUGACCAGAAGUUUUUGAUCUUGAACAAACAUCACAUAUUUUUACAAAUGUUUUAACAACCUUCCAUAUUUGAAGCCACCAAAAAUCUCUAGAUAUAAGCUCUAAAGUCUUAUUAUAUCCAAAAUAUACUACUACAAGAAAAUUGUAACCAGCUUUAAGAACAUGUAAUUAUGCUUCUCUUUUUGGAACAUAUAAGUGUCCUUCAAAUAGAAUAGGUUCUCUUUAAAUUCAAAUUUGGAAGUAUCUUGAGACUUACAUGAAUUAUUUUAAAUAUCAUGAACAAAAAGAUCUAAGGACAUACUGUGUAGAAUAGAUAUUAGUUCGUUUUUGUAAGAUAUUGGUAAAAUAAACUAAUAGUCUAUAAAAUAGUCAGUUUAAGAGGACGAAUGAUUGAUUCAUUUAUUAAAAGCGGUUAUUAUAAGAUUAUGGUUAGAAUCUCAAAAUCAAUAGCAAUUAUAUAGGAUUUUUAGAAAUUUGUCAGGGAGUCAAACUGUGAUAGUCAUGAGUUGAGGUUAAGCUUGAGUGCUUCCUCUUUGUUUUUUUUAUUUUUUUUAUUGUUGAAGAAUAAUGGAUAAUUUCUGAAUACUGAGAAGUGAGUCUGUGGAAUAAAUCAAAGAUUGAUUUAUGAAUUAUUGAUUUAUGAGUUAUUGAUUAUAUAAUUGGAGUACUAAGUGAUUGAAUUAUAUGAGAAAUUAUUGAAAGAUUGAUUAUGGAUGGAAGAUUAUGGUUGUUAUUUAUUGACAGUUGUGUGUUUGUGUUUUGAUAGAGGAAGUCUGUGAUUAUAGGAAUUCUGUGAAUUCAGAUUGGUUGGAGUGAAGUCUGUUAUUUUUGAUGUUGCAUAGAAUUUAUUGAGUUUUGAGUGGUCUUUUGAGAGUGUAGGGUUGCACAUUGUGGUUAUCAGUUGAUGAAGGAGUAUUGUUAUUGGAAGAAAGCAUUGUAGUAUUUCUAAGUAUUUUAGUGGUUUGGAAUACAGUUAAUUGUGUGAUCCUAUCAAGUGAAAUUCAUGUGCUUAGUCUUUCCCUAUUUUCGAAUUUUCUUAUAUAGGUUUAUUCUGGAAGGAAUUAUAGAAUAAAUAAAAUGACAAUCACAACUUACUUGGAUCUACUUGAAAAAAGUCAAAUCAAUGAUCAAUGUUGAUUUCAUUGCUUGAAGAUGAAAUUAUUUUGACUUCAAUAAAAUUAUCUUUUGUUAGUCAAAAGCUACUUCUCUUUUAUUUGGUAUAAAAUAAGAACGUCUAGAAAAGGCAUCAAAUAAAUCUUAUUAUUUUUCUAGCUGAUAAGUGAUAUUAAACUCAAAUCUUGACAAAGACAUACUCCAACGAGCCUAGUAAUAAUUCUAAAUACGUAUUGAUAAGAAAUACUUGAAAUUCUUGUGAUCCAUAUAUACAGUGAUUGGACUUGAAGCAUCUUCUAAAUAAUGACACUAUUCUUGAGAAGAAUCCAUGAUUACAAGAAAUUCCUUAUUAUAAAUUUGAUAAUUAAUCUCGACUCCUAAAAAUUUUCUUCAAUGAAAAGCUAUUAGAUGAAGUUUGCCAUCUUCUUUUAGUUAUGAUAAGACUGCACUCAAGGCAAAGUCAAAUGCAACUAUCUCCAUAAAAAAUGCUUUGGAGAAGUUGACGUGAUGUAGAAUUGGUGCAAAAGUAAAAGCUUUCUUUAAAGCUUCAAAUGAUACUUUUGCUUCUUCAUUCCAUUCCAGCUUAUCUUUACAAGUUAAGCAUAUAAGUGGUGCUGCAACUUAAGAAAAGUUCUUGAUGAAAAUCCGAUAAUAAAUGGCAAAUCUCAAAAAGCAUUGUAUAUCUCUUAGUGUUUUUAGAGUCUUCUAGUCCAUGGUUGUUUGAAUUUUUUUAGGAUCCAUCAUUAGGCCAUUGUUUGAAAUGAUGUACCCUAAGAAGUCAACUUGAUUAGUGUAGAAUACACACUUUUCUAUCUUGGCAUACAAUCCCGCAUCUCUAAGUUUUUGUAACAUGCAACAAAUAUGAAUUUCAUAUUCUUUUACAUCCUUAAAAUAGAUUAAAAUAUCAUCUAAGUAAUAGAAAAAAAAAUUAUUUAUAAACUUACAAAAAACAUCAUUCAUAAGAUGUUAAAAAAUAACUAGUAUAUUUGUGAGUACAAAAGGCAUGAUAUUAUAUUCAAAGUGUCCAUAUCUUAUUCAAAAUACAAUCUUUCAUUUAUCUCCUUCUUUAAUGCAGACUAGAUUAUAUGCUCUUCAUAGAUCUAUUUUUUUUAUAGAUCUUAGCUUGAUUUAAUUGAUCAAGAAGUGCAAAUAUCAAAGAUAAAGGAUGUUUAUUCUUGAUGGUAAUCUUUUUGAGUCCUCAAUAAUCCAGGCACAUUUGCAAUAAUCCAUCUUUUUUCUUCACAUAAAAGAUAAGAGCUCUUGCAAGAGAUUUUGAAUGGCAUAUGAAAUUCUUAGCCAAGUUUUGAUCAAUGUACUUCUUGAGUUUAGCCAACUCAUUUUGUGAUAAACUAUAGAUUGGACUAUAUGGUGACUGAGUUCCCUCUUUUAGCUCAAUUGAGUAAUCAUAUGGAUGAUGCUUUGGAAAAAUAUCUACAUUCUUCUUCUCAAAAACAUCUUAAAAAUCUUCAUAUUGACUUGGAAUUUUACUUAAAAUCUUUCUAUCAUUCAAAAUGGGUGUGGCAUAAAUAAUAAAAGAUGAUACUUCUUUUGCAGUAUUGAAAAAAGCUUUUGCACCUACAAGUACAAGUUUAACUAUAUUAGACUCAUGGCUUUCUAUUGGAUUAGAAAAAAUCUUAAUAAUGUUAAAAAAAAAUCAAGUUUAGGAGAAAUCCAAUCUAUCACAGAAUUAUACUUUUUUAGCUACAAUAAAUCUAAAAUGACUGGAUUAGAGGGAGACCUAAUUAUAUUAAAAAAAUAUGUAACUAUUAUUAAUAAUUAGGAAGUAUUUUAUGAGUAAUAUCUCUAAAAGAUAACAGACAACUGUCUAUGACUUCUACGUGUACGGAUUUAAUUUUUCGUAGUAAUUAUAUAUUAAGACUUUUAACAAAUUGUUCAUCUAAAAAACAAGCAGAGGCUCAUGAAUCUAUUAAAGUAUAGGCUUUGUAGUUAUUAGAUCCUAUACAUACAUCUAUUGUAAAAAAAAGAGAGGAUUUUGAAAAAAGAAUAGGACCUUUAUUAGGAAUUGUACAAGAUUCUAGCCUUAUGGUCCCUAUUGUAGCUAGACAAAUUUGUUUUCUAACAUGUUUUCAUUUUUAAUAGUACUACUCCUCAUUUUGUAGUUGUAUCGUUGGAAUAGAGAGAAUUUAAGUCAAAAAAGCACUGGGCUUUUGGUUGCUAUUAAUUACUCAAUGAAGUCUUGAGAUAAGAAAGACCAAGUUUAUAUAUAUAUAUAUAUAUAUAUAUAUAUAUAUAAUACUUUUAGGAGCGAUUGUACCAAAUAUAUAAGCCUCAAUUGACCAACAACAUCCAAAAUAUGAUAAAAUCAUUUAAAUACAUGUACAAAAUGUUUCAUUUUCUAAAAGUUUGAACCAAAAAUUUGUCUAAGAACUCAAGUUAUGGCUCUAACCAUCACUAUAAAUAAAAUUGCUCACUUAUUGCCUUUGAUUUAGAAGCAUCACCUUUAAAUCCUUAUACCUUCUUUAUAUGAACUUCAAAAGCAAUAAUUCUUUCAUAAAAGAUAUAGGUCUUAAAAUUCCUAUUCCAACUGCACCUUCCAAUCUUCAAAAUCUAUCAUACCACUCCUUAUAUUCACAAAAGAGUAAUAUUAUGUCUUAAAUUAAUACCUUAACUUCAAAUGACUAUAACUUCUUCACAUUAAUUCCAAAGCCUCUAAUUUUUUUGUACAAAUUUUAGUCCAAAUCCUAAUCCUUAUAACUUUGGCUUCUAAUUUCCAAAUGCCUCAAAAAAUGAUAGUAGGUAUGAAAUUGACAUCUUACCUUUGAGCACCAAUAAUUCCUUCAAAAAACUCCAAAUCACACAAAAUUUGUACCCAAUUCAUAUCCAAAAAAACUAAAUUUGAUGAUACUAGCCUCCAAAGCUCAAAUGACUUCAAAAGAAAAACCUUAAUAUCUAAUUAGGCCUUGAGCAAUCUGCUUGAAGCGUAUUGGACUUAGCCUUCGGCCAAUAGGAAUGAAGAUUCCUAUUCUUUGCCUUCAUUCAACCAUGCCUUGCUUUCAUUUCUCUCAAUAAGCCUCUUACUAGUUAAGAUUUUUUUCUUUAGAUUCUAAUAUCUUUUCGAGGCUUCAUACUAAAUAUUUAGGUCUUAUAAUUUAUUUAUUUUUAAAUACUAUAAUCAAAAUAAAUAAAAAUAAAAAACAAAGUAAAGUUUCUUAUACCAACUUUCUUUAAAUUAGUCUAUAAACCAUUCUAAUACAUACCAAGAUAUAUAAACAUAUUAUUUGUUCAAACUAAUUUUUAUAUACUAUAAGCAAUUACAGUAUGACAGCGUCAUUUUUUUAGAUAAUAUUGAGUAGUGUAUUUAGCUUCUCUAUCAUAUAAAUAUAGUCUUUUUUGACAACAAUCAGUGUUUUCUUGUGCGGUAAGAGGUUUAAAACGUACUGCAUCAAUUUACAUGUCUUCUACUUCCAACUACUUAGAUUGAAAAGUUGUUGGUCUUAUCAUUGAAUUAUAAUAACAUUGAGGUUCUCUUGUGUGAUUCUGACAUCAAAACUCAAAAAGCUGAUUGUUAUAUUUUACAACAAAGUCAAUUUCUUCACUCAAUGUCUAAAGAUGAGAUAAAUUGAAUAUCAAUUUCUUUACUUCAUAUUGUAAUUUUUAGAAAAAUUGGGUGACGAAAGCUGCAUCAUUCCACUUCAUAUGUAUCGCUAAUUAUCAAAAUUAUAAAGUGUAUAAUAUCACUGAUCGAUUGCUUUGUCGCAAGAUACAAAUUUUAUUGGUUGCAAUAUGGAUUGUAUCAUGUUUUCCACACAUAGAUCGAAACUUUGCUAAUAAUGCUUCAAAAUUAUUCAAUAUUGAAUCAUGUUGUUCAAAAAAUGAUGAAAACCAUGAUAAAACACAACCUAAAAGUAAUGUUCCAAUAAACCUAAGUUGUGAUCCUUGAAUUGGAUAACUUUAAGGUUGUAGUUCAAUUACCAAUUAUACCUCAUUGAUGAAUCUUCAAAACUUAUAUCUUGUACCAUCAAACUUUUCAACCAAUCUAAUUUUUGAUUCUAUCAAACUUGAACGAUGUUUCAUUGUAGGCGUAGUAAUAUAGCUUCGUAUAGAUGUUGAAGCACCUCCAAUCAUCUCUAUAUCUUUAUUGCCUGAUAAUCUUGUUGCUCCUUGUAGUAGUAGAGUAAGUUGAUGCAUUACAAGCAUUAAUUUUUUCAUUUACUCUUGCAUUUGAGCCAUUGCACUCUUCAUUUCAAUAAGCUUUGCCAUGCUAGUACAAUAAAAAGAAAGGUGUCUAUUCUCACAAAAUACAAUACUCAAGAAUCAAGAAAAAAAAAUUCUAAAAACAACAUCAAUUUAGAAGAGGGUAAUCAACAACUUCUAAUAUGCUUAUGUCUUGUCAAGAGAAAGGAAUAAUCUACUAUCAAUCAAGAAAAAACAAAGCUCUGAUAUUAUAUGUACACUCUUAUUAAUCUAUCAAGGACACAAACUUAAAGAAGAUUUAUUAAGUCAUGGAAUCUAAAUUAAAAAGAAAGUGACAAAAUAUAAGAAAAUAUGUAUUUUCAAGAAAGAACUCGAAUGACUAUUGCCAAAGACAAGAAAACAUAAGACUCUUGAAAUUAGACUAAAAACCAAGAAAGGAAUCGAUAAGAGUGACGAAGGCCUCAUUCUUGCCUCUAUAUAUACUACUUAACUAAAAAAUAUAUGACAAUAUACUAUAGGACCUCUAAUACGCGUCCAACUUGUAGGACACAUCUCUAAUUUGUAAGGCAAGUUUCUUAGGUGUGUACCAUAUGUCAAACUUGUACUAUAAGUGGUCAACAUAUUGACAUGUGGCCUCCUUGUUGGCCAACUUUUUAACCUACUAAUCACUUAUAGACAUGUAUAAAAGCAAAGCAUUAUCUAUAAAGCUUCUAAAAAGCUUUCUAUAAGAUAUUAUCAUAUUUAUCUACUUUGACUUACUUCUAUCUAUUCUUAUUAUCUAGAUAAUUAUCAAGAUAAAUGUGUAUGUUUGUGAAAAUCCUUUAUUAUGGUUUUAAUUAUCCUAUCCAACUCAAAAAUAUGUAAAGAUUCUUCCAACGAAGUAUUUCCUAUGGCUAUUGAGUUUUGAUUGGUAGCCUUUGAUCUAGUCAUAAAUAUUAAGGCAGGAAUUCUCAUUGCUAAAUUCUUUUCUUUGACAUAUAGAUCAUGUAAAAUAAAAUUAAAAGAUGAGGAGGAAAGUUGGCCUUAGUCACUUUGAAUUUGAAAUUACAUAGUUAUGGAUUCAAAUGUAGUUUCUAGAAGUCUAACAACUUUCUUAUUUUUCAUGUCUAGCUAUGGCAUAUUAAAGAUAACAUCAUAUUUUAAUUUUUUCACCUUGAAUUUCUUUCUUAAAACAUAAGUGUCUGUUAAUCUCAAGGUUUCUUCUAUAUAUGUCUCAUUCAACACAUUUUCUUAGUCAUCUACAAAGUAUAUACUUCUUCUCUUGAUUUCUUUGAUUUUAAUUCCAAGUCAAUCUCUGAUUUCAGUUGAGAUGCAAUUUUUUGUAAGGCCACAAUUUACAAGUACUCGACAUAGUUGUCCUCUUAAUAGUCCUGUUAGAUGCAUGAAUUGACUCUUUAUAUAAUUGUCUAAGGUUAUACCAUUUGUUUCUAAGAAAUAGUAACAACCUCCAAUAUUGGCUUCCAAUGCCUUUAUUGAAGAGUACCAUUUUCUUACUUUGACUCAUUAUUGGCUUGAUGAAUUUUGAGAUUGUAAACCCAUCUUGUCUUGUUAAUAUUUGUACUUUCACAUUUUGAAUCACCUCUUAUCUGAUGGCUUGGCUUCCAACAAUAGAAAUUAUAGUUCUUUUUACAUCAAUAUUUAUCGUCUUUGUGGUGUCAAUGAUUCUUAUAAGGCAUCAAUUUCCAUUGGCAUUGUUUGUUGUCUCGUAAUAAUAGAUAGCAGUGUAGGACAUUGUGCUAUAGGUUGUAUUCCAUAAUUUCUGAAAUCUAUAGCAUUGACCCUCUCUGCAAUCCAAAUUGCCUCUUCAAAUGUUUGUGGAUCCCUUAACUCCACCUCUCGUUGAACUCUAGUUUUCAAACCUCAUAGGAAUUGAUCCAUCAUCUCUAUCUAUAAAAAAUUAUUAAUUUGGAAAUAUAGAAAUUUGAAUCAGGAGAGAUAAUCUUGUACCAACUAAGCUUAAAAUUGAUUCCUAAACUUAGUCUCAAAUUCCUCCCAAUCACAAAAUCCACCUUGAGCUCUAUAUCUUUGAACUUGAUGUCGCGACCAAAUCGCUAUUACAUCCUUCAAAUAGUUGGCUGCAUAUAUAAUUUUUUUAGUGAUAUAGAAUAGAUAUUAAUUCAUUUUUGAAAGAUAUUGAUAAAAUAUACUAGUAGUCUACAGAAUAGGUAAUUUAGGAGGACGGAUGAUUGAUUUAGUUAUUAAAAGUGGCUAAUUACAGAAUUAUGGUUAGAAUCUAGAAAAUCAGGGGAACAUACAAAGGAGUUGUAGAAGUUAGUUUAAAGGCCAAACUGUAAUAGUCAUGAGUUGGGGUGAGUUUGGUACUACCUUUUUCUUUGUUUAUUUCUUGGGUUUUGUUUUCAUUGUACAAGAAAACUUAUGAAUAGUUUCUCAUAAAUGUGAAGUAAUGUUUUGAAAUAAAAAGAGAUUUGAUAUUGUCAAAGGAAGAAUUUGAUUUAUUAAAUUUUGAGUUAUACAGUGGUGAAUUGAAAGAAAAUGAUUGGAAAUAUUUGUAGAGAAUGGAUAUGAAUGGAAGGAUUAUAAUACAUUGAGUAUUGGAAAUUAAGAGUGAUUCAUCAUAAGGAGUCUGUAGAGUCUAGAAUUUUGUGAAGAAGUAUGUUGAGAAGGAUCAUUAAUGGUGAAGGAUUCAAGUGUUUGGAUUAUGGAAUAAUUAUGUAUUAUCUUUUAAGAUUGUGCAAGGUUACACGUUAUUGUUAUUAGUGAUGGCAGAGUACUAUUAGGAAGUAGAAAACAUUGUGGUGUUCUUUGGUAUUUUUAGUGGUUCGAAAUAUAGUUAAUUGUAUGACCUUAAGAAGUAGAACUCAUGCGCGUAGUCUUUCCUUGCAUUUGAAUUUCCUUCUACAUGUUUAUUUUGAUGGAAAUUUAUAGAAUAAGUAAAAUGAUAAUUACAUUUUGGGACCGCUAUCGGGGAUUGACAAUAGCAUUGAGUAUUAGGAAUUAACUGCCAGAUGAGUAGAUGGGAAAUAGAAAGCAGACUCAGUAGAAUAUAAUGAAAGAGUAUAGUUAUUAAAAAUGAGAUUACAAGCAAGAAAUUUGUUGCGUAAGAAAAAAAGUUAAAAAAGAAUCAUCAACAAAAUUGGAUUAAGACAUGGUUGUAUGUCUGUCGGCAUAUGUGAGUAUAACCAGAAGCUGAUCGACAUCUACUAUUUCAGAAGUAUAUAUCGUUAAAGAAAUUUUCAAGGCACUCACAGAAAAUUUAGUCAAUAGUUUAGUGUUUCUCUUGAGGCUGUUAACUACAAGUAGAGAUAUCACAAAUGAAUGGAUAUUCCAUUGGGUACAUUUCCAAUAAUGAAAGCUGGUAAUUUUGUCAAAAUUGGUUCCAAAGAAUGGUAUAAAUUAUUGGUCAAUAAGAGCCAAUUCAAAGUAUUUCAAAAUCCAUCUUUUUUACCUCUAAUUUGACCAAAUAACUUAUUUAUGGAUAAUAAUAGUAAAUUGAAGAAACUUGAAAGUUUACAAUAAAUAAUUAGAGAAGGUGUCGGUUAUUUUAACAAAAGAUUAAGUGGUACAUUGUUCUCUUCAAUGGCAACAAUGUCGUGUUGUAAUACGAUUAUAUGGUGAAAGAUGAUAAUAUGGAUCUUAUUAUAGAAGAGCCAAGUUUAAAAAAAAAGGUAGAAAAAUAUAGAUUUCAGUAAAAAGAUCUCUUAAAGAUAAAAACGGAGGAGAAAGCUCUGACGACGAGAGCCAAUUUUAGAUCCAAGCUCUGACGGUGGGAGCCAAUUCCGGAUCCAAGAUAGAGGAUUGAAGAAAUUCAGAAUUAAGGUUAAAAAAAGAGAGGGGAGAGAAUAAGUUUUUGGGGGGGGGGGUUUUUUGAAGGAGCAGAGAGCUAGCUUCAUGCUUCGGGCAGGGAAAAAAGACAGAGAAUUGGGUUUGUUUUCUUCAUAGGAUUUUGGGAAGACUGAGGCAAUCGUUGCUGAAGUCAGUGUUGUAAUGGUGAAUCGGGAUUUUUAAUGAAGUGGGUUUGAUUACUCUUGACUAUUUUUGUAAAAUCAAGUUACGUCUGUGAUGAAGAAUUAAAAGGGUGUCUAUAGGAUUGAGUAUGCGGAGUGAAUGAAAUUUAUUGGAUUAAUCUAACAAGACAGUCAGUGGAUACAAGAUCGUGAGUAUAAAGCGGUAUCGUACUAUAAUUACUUACAGUAUGUAAAAAUUAGUGAAAACAUGUAAUAUGUUUAUAAGUCUUAAUGUGAGUUAGAAUAGUUAGUAUGUUAAUUUAAAAUGAAUUGAAAUAAGAAAAAUUAUUUGGAAGUUAAUCUAGUUUCAUUAUAGAGUUUAUAUUAUAUAGGAUUUAGAUAGUUAGUAUAAAGAUUAAGGGAAGGGAGGAGUUAAAAGAUGAAAAUAUAACUAGAAGGAGGCUUAUUGGGAAGGAUGAAAGUAAGGCAUGGUUGGAUGAAGGCAAGGGGUGAAGAACUUCAUCCCUAUUGGUCGAAUACCAUGCCCAAUGGGCUUUGAGGAGGCUGCCCGAGGCCAUAUUAGGAAUAAGGGUUCCUCUUUCGAGGCCAUUCGAGCUUUUGAGGCUAGGAUCAGAAGGUUUAGGAUUUUGGGUAUAAUUUGGGUGAAGAUUUUGUGUGAUUUCGAGUUUUUAUGGAAAAGAUAUGAAUGUUCAAAGAUAAGGUGUCAAUUUCGUACCUACUGUCAUUUCUUUUGGGUAUCACAUACGAAUACGGAGAGCAACGGAAGAUCGGCGACUGGAUUUGGAGGGAGCAUUUUCUUGGCUACACAUUCUACUUACUAUAUAGUGAAUUCUAAGAUUGGGUGAAGGAGUUAUGAGGCGUUGAAGACAACACUUAUAAUUUGAAGGUAGUAAGUAUAUCGUUUUGUUGCUAGUUAUGGAUGAAGCCAUAUCUUGAGUUUUUGGACGAAUUUUUGGCUCACAAUUUCCACAAGUGUGUGUAAUUGGGUUAAAAAGCUUUAAAUCAAAGUUUCAUAGUAUUUGAAUAAUUACUUUGUGAGAUAUGAAGGAAGUUGUACACGGGUGUAAAAAAGCUAGGGUUUGAAGCUACAGUUAGGGUUUUCAAGAUAUCACAAGAUCCAAGACGAAUUUACCGUUGAAUUUUGGUGUGGUAGUUGCUAAAGAUAUAUCAGUACUCCAUGUAAAAAUUGGAGUUGUUUAGACGGUUAGAUCGUAAGUUAUGAGCUGUUGAACUUCAAGAAAAAUUCCUCAUAAGGAUAUAUAAGUUUUUUAUAACACCUUAUCAAGUAUUUUGGUGUUCUUUGGAUUUUAAGGCUUGUAUAUUGAUGUAAUUGCUCCAAAGGAGAGGAGUUUAUAUAUAUAAAAUUUUUACCCUUAUAUUUCAAACUUGAUUGAGUAUUUAGUGACAGCCAAAAGCUCAGCGCUUUCUUGAGGCAAACUCUCUCCACCCCGAUAGCGAUAUCGAAGAUUAGCAGUUUGGGUUGUUCGGGGUUCUCUGUAAUGUCUAGAGACCUACUGGCUGGGACAAAAAGGACUUCGGCGAGCAGUCGAAGGGCAUCCAUAUAGAUUUACAGUGUAUUCUUGUAGUUGUUUAUAUUCCAACAAUCAAAAACUGAUAGACUGUUUGAAUAUUAGCGAAUCUCCAUACUACCUUCUACAGCCAGAUG